rnacentral:lncRNA from 1 species
UUUUUCUUUCUUUUUUUUUUUUUUUUUUUUUUGGUUUAAGGGAAAACUCAUAACCUUGUAAGAGAAAAGCAAAGGGAAUUGGUCACAUCUUGAUUAAAGCUAUUUAAGCGAUGCACACAUAAGGAGAUUUGCAUAUAAGAUGCUAAGGUGGGUCUUGGGCUGAAUUACUAUGAUUUGUGCAUGAGAACAUUCGGUUGAGUCACACUAUUAAACUCAAACAUGCACACAUGAGAAGAAAAGGUAAAAUCACAAAUCAGAGAAGCUUCAGCCGGAUUACAUAUUUUUAAUGGUUUCUCUUGCUAGAAAUGCGAAUUGACCAAAUGGUUCCUCUGCAUUGAUCUUGGAUUUUAAGGGUUUUCAUUGUCCAUACUGCUGUGAUUCACUAAUUUAUUCUCAUUUUCAAGGGAUUAGCACUCAUCAGGUAAUAUUUUGAAUUCAUAUAGCGUGCAUAAAUAACUAUCAUAUGCAUGACUAUAAAUUUGAAUACUAUAUAGAUAUAUCUGUAUGUAUGCAUGUAUAUUAAAUUUGUAUAGACACAUACACGUUUAUAAACUAUGUACAAGGUAUAAGCUCAUCCAUUUUAACGCACUUUAUCACUUUAAGUGAUUUUAUUAAGAGUUAAUCUUAUAUAUAUUUACAAUGUAUACAGUACUAUUAGGAUUGGAUAUAUGAUGCAUAUGCAAGAUUUGAAUUUUUAAUUCAAAUUAGAUUAAUUGUUAUAUAUCUAAUGGUGAUAAUGUAUACACUAUCAGUAUAUAAAAAAUUAUGUUUUAAUGAAGAUCCUUCUUUCACUGAAAUUUAGAAUUUCUGACUUCCACUUCUUUCUCCCUACGACAUUCAAUGCAAUAACAUCUUGACAUUGGCACAUUCAACAUGACCCUCCAGACAUUCAGGGGGUCAAAUUUAUGCUUGCACCAUUUGUACAUUUGCCAAAAUUGAGACUAAGAAUUAACUGUUCCAAUGCUUCAAGAGUUGGUCCUAUGCCAUUUUCAAGGGAUCACCUGAAUUCAAGUAAUAUAUAGUUUUUGAGAACUAUUCCGAGUUCGAAUUAAUGGACAUCAAUUCACCCUUAAAUAGAAGCAAACGGAGAAACACCAGAGGGAGCAGUAGUUCACAACUUCAACUUGUGCAUUCAAGCCUUUCUCUAUUCGUUCUUAUUGUCGUCGAUGUAAAGUACAAAUUGAAGAAGUUGAUAUACAUAGAAAGGGACUGCCACCGAAAUAGCUUAAUUAUAAUCUUAUCUAAUAUUCCAACUUCAAUAGAAACACUACUCGUGCUGCAGCUGCUAUAAACUGCAAACUGCCUUGUAUUGAUAAGAAAAUUGAUCCCCUGAAUAUCUGUAAAGGAACCACUGAAGGAACCACUGGGCCAAUGGCUCAGAGGCCACCAGGGAGGGAUUUAAGUCCCUCCUUGGGCUGUUGGCGAGGGUUCAAACCUCACCAGCAGCAAAAAAAAUCUAAGGAUUGUGCCAUAGCACUCCCUUGGUCUAGUUGGGUUUGUACACCCACUAGCCCCUACAAUAGCUUCCUUAGGCUCCCCCUCCCCCUAGAUUAGGAUAGCCCUAGAUUAGGAUAGAAUAAAUAAUACAAAUGUAUCGUAAGGGCAUCGUGAUGGACUGGGAUUCUUGCAAUUGACACAGCAAUUUCACCAUGCAAUUGAUCACCCUAGAUUGGUAUAAUUUGAAUUUGAUUAAUGGAUGAAAUUGAUCGCGGGACAUAACUUUCAUUUGGUGACAAAAUUUGUUUUCUUUUUGUACAUUAUUCUCGUAAUGUCAAGAUUUGCAAUUUCAAAUCAUAAUAUUGUAUCAUAUUUACGGGAUUUGUCACUAAAAAAAAAAAAGUAUCAUGCAACAAUUGCAAAGACUUGAAUCGCAUGGUGACAUGUAUAUUUGGACCGUGGAAGACUAAAGAUGAGAGAGCUCAACGCCUGUCUACAUCUGUUGUGUUAAUGAUUACGUUGUGUAUGUCGCAAUUGCAAAAGCCGGAAUCCCAUGGUGACCUGUAUAUUUGGACCUUGUGCGUCUAAAGAUGAGAUAGCUCCAUUCGAAUUCCAGAAUUAGUCCAAAAUUCCAGACAACUACAUAAUAUUUGUCAAUAUGCAUGUGGACGGAAAUACUUGCAAUAAGGCAGUAGAUAAGGCCUGCAACAAUCAUGAAAUAAUUUAUGUAACAAAAUUAAAAAAAACAAAAAGAAAUGCCUAGAGGCUAGAAAGAACGAUAGGAAAGGGAACCAAUUAAAUAUGAAAGUAUAUGUGGAGCUGUGCUUGGGCGGCCAUGAAUAUUAUUAUCAUAAGGGAUCAUCAUUUCUACUAUUUAUUUCUGGUGAGAAUUUCUCUUCUAGAAGAGAAGAAUGUGCCAAAUAUCACUUUAGCCUUCCAUGAAACUUGAUAGUUGUUUUGCAAAGAACAAGAGCCCACGAGUGUAUACGGUUGAAUCCAAACUUCGCUGUGAGCUACACGAGUGUAUUUCAAGUGUCGUCACUUUGAUUUUUGUUUUAUCUUCUGACUUGUGUUUUUACUUAUAUUUUCCUUCAAGAAAGAAAAAUCCAAAAGCAUGAAGUUUAUCAGCCCAUAUAAGUAAUGAGCUAAGUUAAAGAUGGAGCCUUAGGUCCUUGAUUCGAACUUUGCUGAAGAUGGAGUCAUAAGUCCGUGGUUCGAACUUUGCUGCCAGCAAGUUGCGGAGAGUGAGGAAUAGUCUGCGGGAUCCACUUCUUGCGGGACACCCCUAAAAAAAAAUACUCGUGACCUUCUUGUCAUUGGAUUGCUAAUUUUUAAAAUUUUUAUUGAAAAAUAUAUUAUAAAGAUUUGAUGUAUGUAAAGUAAAAAAACGAUUUCAAAAAUGAUGUAUUUAUGAAAAACGUAAAAGUUUUUUUUGAAAAAAGAAAAAAAACUGCAAUUCAAACAAGCCUUACAUCUUGACGAUUCCAAGUGACUUAGGAAAUUAACUCAAGGAUAAAUUUGGUUAGACAAUUGUGAUGCCAAAGUGAUGCACCACCUUCUUGAAGAAGCAAAACCCUUUAUUAGACAUAGACAAACAACCAAAAAAAUACACACAUAAAAGGAGAAGAAAGCUGGGAGAAAAUAGCAAAAAUCAAACAAACAACCAUACUAUAUCCUGUUGCCCAAACUCUAGAUUGAGGCUUCUAUCGUUUUGAAAAAAUUCACGAGGAUCAUGUUACAUUUGCACUCACAAUAAUUGGUUGGAUGAAACAAGUCAUGAAAGCUACUGCAUGAAGGUAUCAGUGUAAAUAAAAAGUCUCACCCUUUUUUUUUCUUUUAUUUUUUAGUAAGGGACAUGUGAAAUUUAAGGAGUAUGGAGCGAGAGGAGGAUUUUAAUUCAAUACUUCUAAUUUUUGAAAUUCAAUCUUAGCCAUUAGACGUGAAGUCUCCUUUAUGUUAGCAACUUAACAAAUAACGACAAAAAGAAUGUAAUCAAAUCUUUAAAGGGAAAAAAGUGAAAUGGUAACAAUCAAGUCAUUUUGUGCAACUGGAGAUUAUAAAAAAAAAUAGAAAAUAAAUGAAAAAAAAAAAACUGGUAUCCAAAAAUAAGAAAAUAAAAAAAUGCAUGCAAAGAAAAAAUCCAAGGCACGAAAACCGUUGCCAACAACUUCUUUGCAUCAUGGACAUAUCAUAUUUCGCGUUGACCCUCAUUUUCAAUAAGUUACUGCAUUAUGGGUACAAGUUGAAACUGCAUUUUUGCUUCUACUUAGUACCUUUCGGUUUUCAGAAUUUUUCACCCCCAGAGAUCCUACGAUCUUUCAAGAGCUUGCUUCAAAAUUUUGAUUUUAGGGGCCAAAAGUACCUCAAAUUUCUAAAAUAUGAAGAUUGUGCGGAGCUUAUUUACACCAUUUUUGACAUUGUGAAAUUUACAAAAUACUACUAAAAAUGUUACCUAUUGUACAGAAUGAUUGAAGAUUCUUUACUAAACAUUUCACAGCAGACAAUCGUCCUGCCCCACAUAACAUGUUGCUGCAAAAUGGACCAAUCUGGUAGCAACCAACUUGCAUCUCUGAUUUAUUUUAUUUUGUUAAGUACCCCCAAACACUUCAGAGGUAUCACCUGACAGAUAUGAUUGUUUGUUAGAAUCCCAUCAAAGGUCGUCUGUCCUAAACAGUAACACACAACAUUAUUGCCUUCAAUGAAUGCAGUUCCCAGUAACAAUUUUUUCUUCUUUGGGAGGGGUAAUGACUUAAUACUGUCUUUUAUUUUCAAAUUUUAAACUCAUGAUUGAAUUAUUAUGUCCUAUUCCUUUUUCAGUCUCUAAAAAUACUCAUGUUUUUUCCAUAGACAGAAGAAACACACACACAGUUAGAUUAGAAACACUCAGGAGUCAUCACCAAGAAGGACCCUAAAGUCAGUCUAAAAAUACUCCUGUUUGGAUUGCUAUUUUUAGGGGAUUUUAUAGAAAAAUGUACUAUAGUGAUUUGAUAUAUAUAAGAUAAAAUGGUGAUUAGAACAUGCGUUCACGAAUUGAAAUCUUUAGAAGAUUUUAUAUAAUACUGUACUAUAAUGAUUUGAUAUAUGUGAGGUAGAAAAAUAAUUAAAAAAUGUAUUCACGAAAAAUAUGAAAUUUUUUCUAGAAAAGAUAACAAUCCAAACAAAAACGGCUUGUAAUGGAAUGUGUGGCUGAUUCUAGUCAUCCCAUUCCCCGAAAAAAAGACAAGGCAAAGAGAAUAAAAGAAUGGAUGACUAGAUUCUGCACUGUAUUACUACAAUUUUACAAGAAUAGAUCAGUUGAAAUUAUAAAAAAAGAAAUCUAAUGCAAGCCUUGGUUCAACAAAUAUUGAAAUCUGAAAUUCAAAAUCAUGAGACGUAGAAAUUUUUUUAUCAUAUUUAUUUUUAUGUAAAUCACUUGUUCCAUGGAAGAUCAAUUUCUAGUAUCACUCUAAUUCAUAUACUCCCUCCAUUACUGUUAUAAUUCAACUUUUCUUUUGAUAUAAUAGAACAGAACUGUACACAUACAAGAGAACAUUCCCUAGUGUUGGCAAACCCUCUCACUAAUCUAUUGACUAUUGUACGUUUACCUUACAUCACUAUUACAAUCGACUAAUAAAAAAUUUUUGAGUUAAACCCCAUUCCAUUGCAAGAGCUCGGGUGCAAUAAGGCUUACCAAUUUAAAUUUUACACAAAACAUUAGUUGCUUUUUAUUUUUUCCGUUUCAAAGAAAUAACUUUUCGAGAUAGAAGAACACAUUUACCACUUGAAAAUUUUGAAUUCUUAAGUUACAUAUAUCUGAAUUCUUUUCAUACCAUCUCAUAAUAAAGGUGACUCUAACGCUAGGACGGAAAGAGUACGUAACUGUCUUUUGGUGUGGACAUCUUGUCUUAUAAGCGUCAACCACUCCAAGCCGUACUAACCAAGGAAUUGUGUUGGUUUCUUUUGCAAAAUUUCUACUCUCAGUACGGGAUAUAUUAACAAUUAGUGAUUAAGGCACACUCGCUAUGUGUGCAACAAUAAAAACAAGAAUAUAUAUAAAAUUAUUUCAUGAAAAUCUAAGCAUGAAAGGAGAAAAUAUUGUAUGGAUUGAGGUAAUUUAGAAAGCAUGAAAAAAUGAAGAAAGAAAAGAAAAAAAUCGUGACAAAUAUUUUAUUUCAUAUUUCUAUCUCAAUCAUAAAUUUAGAUGAAAUGUAACCUAUAUCGCAAGACGUUUCACUUGCAACUGGCAGGUUACGGGUUCAAGUCAUCAAGAGGAUAAGUAAAGAAUUACUGUUAAUCUUCUUUAAAAAAAGUCCGUUCAAUCCGACAGUUCAACUGAUCAACCUUGUAACCUAGUCAUUUAGUCAAGUUGGAUUAGUAGUUGGAACAGAUAAAAGAAGAAGCUGAUUGACUAGUCAAUUACAUAUCGAUUCAACUGAUAAAAUUCGAUACAUUGGCCGAUUCAACUGCCAAUUCAAUAAAUUGUAUUAUUUCAAAAAAUUUGAACAUACUAUUUUGUGAUAUAUAACUAUCGGUUCAACCAAUAGACAUGUAGAGAACCAUUAACCUGUUAAACCGAUUGCCUUGCUGGUUUAUGUCCUAGUGGGAUUUAAUAGCCAUGGUUAACACUUCUGCUUUAAUAUAUAAAUUUGAAGAAUGUCAGAAAUAAAUGUGGAGAUGUUGUAAAUAAAAAUAGAGAAAUUAACAGAGUAAAAGAUGGGAAGACAGGGUAAAAUAGUGACACAUUUUAUAACACUAUAAAGGGCUUCGCACUGAGUCUAAACGGGCCAAAGUCGAUUAAUCCUUUCUAUCCAAUUGGCAAUUGCAACAUCUGAUUGAUAUCAUCACCACAUAAGCCAAAUCGACAGAGGUUCGGUUUCAGUUACAAAACAACAAACGCUAUUGUUAACAAAUUGAGAUUCUGAUGAGCCAUAUUGGAAAGGAGGGGUAAAGAAUAAAAGAAACAGGCAAGAAAAGUUGCAGUUCAUGGAGAAUUAUUGUGAAGUACUAUGAUGAAAGGAGUAACUAGCAAAAUGAAAAUUUUUGGACAAACUUCAUUCAGGCAUUGGCGGAGCUCUUCUGUUCUCGAAGUACAUGUCCGAGUAAUACGUGUCUUGGCGGACUUUGUUUUUCUUCUUAUCAUGUUGUAUGGAAUUAUUGAUAUAGUCCUUUGCCCCCCAUCAUCUUCCAAAUAUUUGGUCCAAUCAUUUGUCCAUUGUCAUCUUAAUCACUGUCUUAUUCUUUGGAGGUGGAUCUUCCUUCAUAUCCGGGGCAAAAAGAUGUCGGUUUGAGUGUCGUUUACUUGGAUAUUCAAGAGACCCCCACCCCCCCCACAACUCUUUAAGUCCUCCAUAGCCCUUGUCCGUGUCUCACUCUAUACACAAAGACAAAUGGCCAACAGGGACUGCUCAUUUUGGAUGCCUUCGUGUGAUUUGAUUGAAGUUAUCCUCGAGGCACUUUGUAUUGGAAAAGUUACUUUAAUUCUCCACUACUCUCCAAGCACUCCUUUAGAUUUGGCAAGCGUAAUAUACAAAUUAACAUGGGCAUGACUUUUGGACUACAUAAAACUUGUUCUCUUAUAUAUGAGCUAGUCUAAAUGCAUGACACAUAAUUUCUAUUCAAAUUUAAAAUUUUUUUUGUGUGCAAAAGAAGGAUAGUAACUUAUUUGCAAAAAAAAAAAAUAUAAACACAUUUUCAAUCAUCUUUUCAUCUUUUUAACUAGCUUCUCAUCCCAUAUACAUCAGAUUACAAAAAAUAUUACAGUACUUUUUCAAAAAAAUUAUUCCAAAUAAUCUUCUAUCCAAACACACUCCUUAUUUUGUACAAUCGUCCUUACACCUGCAUCUUCUCGUGUUGAAAGAUGUCUAUAUAUUGUCAAUGUAAGACAAAUAAUAAAAAUAGUUGAAAAACUUACCUCAAGUAAUAAUCACCGUAACGAUCCUUACGAGGUACAAAAAGAAGAAAAAGAAAAAAGAAAAAGCACUUUAUUUUAACCCACAGUCACACUCUGAUGAUCAUUUGCAUCCCCAAACCCAUUUAAAGGAGCACAAACCCUAACUAGUGACAGUGCCUUGUCAAAGUGUUUGGCUUUGGUGCCAAGAUACUCAGUCCAAGUGACUGGCCUGUAUAGAGGAGGGCGGCCUUGGUCUACCAGUUUUUGAAGUGGUGAAAUUGUAACACCGGAUGGGGGCCCAUAAAGAUAAGCUACGGAGAACCGAUGUCGGGUCCGGUUCACGACGGCCCGGUGCAGUACACUAGGGUACAACCCGUUGGAUAGUAUGUGAAGGAGGUCCCCAAUAUUGACCACCAGAGCUCCGGGAAGAGGAGGAACCGUGACCCAUCCGGCCCCGCCGUCACGGAGCACCUGUAAACCACUGGUGUUAUUCUGGUGGAGGAUGGUAAGUAUGGUGGAGUCGGUAUGCGCAGCUAGACCCAUGGCCCGGUCGGGCUCCGGACAGGCCGGGUAAGAGUUCAAUUGAAUGGCAGCAUUUCCACCUUCAAAUGCUCCUUUAGGGCUAGCCCAUUUCACCUCUUCCUCGGUUACGCCCAGUGACCCAAGAAUUAACCACAUCAGCUUCCCCGCGAGCUUUUUCAUUUCCUUCUCGUACUCUUUCAUUACAUUGCUGCAGUAAAAAUUAAAUUAACUGAAAGUUAAUUGAAGAAGUUGUUUAAAGAAAAACAGCAUGCCUUUUUGUAUUCAUUCAACAACAGACUAAGAGGAGAAGGGGCAAAAGGGAAUCUUAAUUUUAGGAAUCUUAUCUAUCUAGCUAAAUUCCAUAUCUUAAUUGUGGGACCAUGUCAACUUUGAUAUAGGUAAUCUUUACCUAUUGGAUCUUAUUGGAUCAAGGAGAUUGUCAUGUACUUCCCUCAACUCAAGUCCCAAAUCGAUAGUAGAAAUGACCCCAAAAUUCAUCCCAAAAAAAUUAGAUGAACAUAUUCUACAUUUGCAAAAUGGAAAGUGAAAAUCAAUUUAUACACGUGCAUGAGUAGGUAAGGAUGGAUGUAUACCAGAAUUUAUGGUAAUCAUGGGGCCAAAGUUGACGUGCAUGUUCCAGUGGAGAACCAACAAUGGUGAACCCUUCGGACCACAUAAGUUUAGGGAAGAAUGAAGAAAUACGAGCGACUCCAUAGCCAGAGACCCCCUCAGGGGAACGAGCAGCUUUAAGUUUUUGAUGCAUGGGGAGCGAGAAAAGUCCUUUUCCGGCAGACUCAAUUUCCUCGAGCAAGUUCUUGGAGAUGCCAUGGUUUUUGACUUGGAAAACGCCCCAUGUUCUGCAUGCAUGGCCGAGUAAAUCCUGGGCAUUUUUAUCAGCCAGAUCAACAACAGGAACCGUCUCAACGUUGAGUAAUUCGCCACGAGGGUAGUCGUCCUUUGGCGGAGCCGUAGUCCAUGCAUGGGAGUCAGGUAACUUCUUGACUCUGCUUAAGUCCAACUGUUUAUGGUGGAAGUAGACAGGCUGAGCUCUCAUGCUAUCUGAAGCCCUUGAUGGCAUUGUUUAUAGCUAGGUCAAGAAACAGGAAGAUUUUAAUCAGAAAUUGAUGUAUGGAAGUUGCAAUACUCCGGCAAGGGGCGGCGCUACGGGUGGAGGUGGAGGGACUAGGGAGACUUGUGAUGUAAGUAUCUUGUGAGAAGUGAGAAAGAAUUGAUUUUAUGCAAGGGAAUUGAUGGUGUCUGCCUUGUAUAUUUAUAGGGAUGAGGGGAGAAGAUGGUGACGAGGUGGAUACAAAUAGUUGAUCUAUUGGAGAUUAUGGAGUAGCAUAAUUUUUGUUGUUUUUGUUAUUAUUUUUAGUUUACCUUUUAGUGGUCUAGGGGUUAUCAAAUUUUGGAAGGGACAGAAGUGAUAGAAGGUUAGGCAGUCAUUUACUAAUUUUGUAGUGGACAAGUGAAAGAAGAAGUAAAGAUAGACCAUCAUGUCCUACAUGAAAUAUGAAGAAAAGUAUAAAUUGCCAUCUCAUCGCUCAAAACAAUAAAUUAAAAUAAAAAAAAACCAAAAAAAAAAAAGGGCAUCUCAUCUCACAUUAACCAAGCUGCUAUUCCAUGAGAGGACUGAGGAAAGAGUCAAUCUCUCUCCAUGUGGCCGUGUCUUGUCUUCAAGUAGAAAAACAUCUACAUCACCCUCUUCACUGCUUGGUCUAGAUCUCUCUUGGCUAUAGGACAAGGAAUACUAUUUUGCCAUAGCUUUUCUUCUUUGUCCUUCUCUUCUUAGUUAAAAAAUUGAGGAUAUAGGGAUUCUAAAAUUAAUCGCAUGUACUAGUAGUUGAUAUAGGGAUGGUUAUUCUGUCCUAUGUCACUCCUGUAUAAAGGGCUUUAAGAAAUUGAUUCAGAUUGAUUACGAUUAUCCAAUCAUUUGUGAAGAUACAUAUAUCCUACGAUGUAUUCAGUCAAACUUUUAUCAAGGGGAGGGUCUAUAAUUAAUUUUGGAAAGUUACAGACUACUACUCUUAGUUACCACAAUUUAUUAAUGUUAUCCUAUUUCAUUAUGUCUACUUUCACUCGACUAUCUAAUGUCUCCAAUGGUACGAGAAACGAUGACAAUUGAGGGAGUUUAUAUACAUACAUCUAUAACUUACAUCUUAUGUGAUGCUAAUGUUUGAUGUUUGCCUUACCCUUUUACCCUUUUGUACGGAUGAAUCCUCUAUUUAUCUUAUAUGAUGCGCUGCUUUGGAUUGGUAGGGGACCCUAAAAAUUGUUAAGACCUGUUUUGGUGCCCUACAUGAUCUGGGCAGGAGGUGAUAGGAGACCUAUUUUGGGCUUAGUCGUUCAAAAUUCGAAUCCGACUGUGACAAACAAGAUAACACCUAAUAAAGAAAAAACCGCAAAAAAUAAAGAAAUAAAGAAACAGAAAUCAAAAGAAAAUUAAAAAGGCCAAUUUUGUUUCCUUGUGUUUUUAUUUUUCCAGUCAAACUCAGCAUUAUCAAAUUCAUCCGAGUCAAUAACUGGCCAAAUUUUUUUGGUUUAGCCGGACCAAACAACCAACCGUUUGAUUCUCGGUUGAACCGGUUGAACCGACUAGGCCCAUACAAGUUUUAUGAACCGCUUUUGUACGAUGGGGGAUGGGCAUUAUUGUCCUGCCAAAGACAAAAAAUAAAAAUAAAUAAAUAAAAAUCAGGCAUCUUUCGUGCUUUUUCUUCUUUGCAAUUGGUCAUUUCGGUGAUAAGUAAUAAAGUUACUUUUGGUAUUUUGCGGUUUAGAUUUGCCGUCUUUUGUCCCAUAGUAGACCCAAGAGUCGGACCAUCUCUAAAUCAUCAUCUUUAAUCGAAGAACAGAAUUGAGACUGUUUUGUCUUAACAUUCGCAAAGGGGUCAUUUUCUGAUUAUGUGUCAUGCUUAUGCAAAUUAAAGUCUUUUACACUAGAAUUCUGUGUCAAAAAUAAUUGCUCACAGAAAAAUCUUUUACUAACCCCAUGUAAGAACUAAUUCAUAUGCUACUACUCAUCUGUAAGGGUGUGACAGCUUGGUCCACUAGCAUCUGAUUGGACUGACAGAUGCAUUAUAUUAAGUAGACAUGAUUAGAGUUGGAUAACCAUUUUUCUAUCUCUGUCUCAAUUGGUUGCUUUCUGAACCAAAACAGCUAACUUGUGGAUUGUAUUGUAUGCAUACGAAAGAAAUGGGCAGCUGUUGCGAUGCUCAAUUGCACAUGUUCCUGCCGAAUGGACCAAGCAGGUCGCAGUCAACUUGCACCUCUCAUUUAUUUUUGUGGCAUUAAGCGAAACGUGAACAUAGGUUUCAAAGCAAAUGGUAUGGCCCCUAGAAUUAACUUUAUCUGAAGAAAAGGAGGAAAAAUAGGAUGUAGUUAUAGAAUGAGACAUCUUUCUCUUUAUUUUUAUCGCUUAAUUCGACUAAUAGCCGUAUUUUAUAUCUUUUUUAUUUAUUGUGUUUACCUCCAACUUCAAGAAGUCGAAAUUUUUUGGCACGAUAAUAGUAUUGAGCAGCAUCCGUUUGAAAUUUUGAAUAUGGUGCUGCACCAUGUCCAACGUGCAAGACCCAAAAACAAAAACCCCACAAAAAAAAAAAGAGAUUCAUUGUACGUGUCUUGUAUUACUUUGAUAAUUAUUCACUCAGAAAGGAUUGACAAAAGGCUGCCAGUGGUAUAUGUUGGUGAUUUUCAAUGUCAUUUUAAGCAGAGGUUAAUCCAAAGAGGUUGGGGUACUUAGAAACUCGUGUUCGUCUAAGAAAAACUCAGACAAGAAACUACCUAUGAGUGUAGAUUAAUUUUUUUUACACCAACAAUGUAAUAUUUUGUUUACAUUACUAAGUGUAAACGCGUUACAUUGUUCCAAAUGAAUUUCAAAGUUGAAAAAAAGCUUAUGUAUGUCGUACAAUCAAACUCGCUAAACAUGCAUAAUAGGAAAACCUUUACAGUAUUGGCGUCCAAAUAUGGGAAUAAAUUUUCUAGGUUAUCAAUGAUAGCAUUUGGGUUGCUAUGUUUUUAUUUGUAAUGGUAUGUGACGAUUUUUUCUACAAAGGUAGAACUUGAUAGAAUUUGAUUUUGUUACCUGCAGAGUACAAUGAAAUACAUCAUUCAGAGAUGGAGACGUGCUCUUGGUGUUAAUGUCUGUGGCAGUGGCCUAGAUUCCUAUGUGGUAGGAAGGUGGCGGCUAUGGUCUGCAGUUUGGGGUGUGGGAUUGAUAUAAUUGAGGCUGUGCACUUGCUAAAGGUUGAUCCAACAUUGUAGCCAAGCUCUUUUGGGUACUUGAUGUGAAGGUUUCAAGUUGAUUCAAUUAUUUGCCGUGGAAGCCUAUAGGUAACAAAGGGAUUUUGGGGCUGCUCAAAUCUGCUGGAGUUAGUUUAGAACUUUUGUAAUUGACCAAUUGAAUUUGAGAACUUGUUGGAUUGGUUUGGAGGAGUGAUAGGCUUGUAGCAAGCAAGGAUGAAGCAAUGAAGUAGAUACAGAGGACCAUUCUUUUCCCCUUUUUUGUGUUUUUAAUUAUGACCACAAGGUUAUUUUAGAAUUUUUGAAAAAAAAAUAACCUUUUAGGUCUACAAUAUUAUUGAAACUAUGAAAAUAUGUAGAGGUGUGCAAAAUCGAAAAAUUUUGAUUUACCGAUCGAAUUCGAAUUGAAUUCGAAAAUUUGAAUUCGGUAAUUUGGUGAUUCGGAAUGAAAAUCGGAAUUUCGAUUUCGAAUUGGUCGAAUUCAGUAACGAGAUUUUUCAAAUCGAAAUCGGAAUUCAGAAUUCCUAUUUCGAUUUCAAAUAUGUUUUUCAUAUAUAUAUAUAUAUAUAUAUAUAUAAUAUAAUAUAACAUUUAUAUUAUAAUAAUAAUUUUUAUAUUCAUGAAUUCGGUGAAAUCGGAAUUCCUAUUUCGAUUUCAAUUUCGUUUUCACACAUAUAUAUAUAAUAUUUUAUAUAUAUAUGUAAUAUAAUAUUUAUAUAAUAAUAAUAAUAAUUUUUAUAUUCAUGAAUUCGGUAAAAUCGGAAUUUACCAAAUUCCGAAUUGAAUUCGGAACGAAUUCGAAUUCGAAAUCUAAAUCGGUCGAAAUUUUUUAUACCAAAAUUUCGAAAAAUUUCGAUUUCAAAGUUUCGAAUUACCGAUUUCGAUUAUGAUUCACACCCCUAAAAAUAUGAGAGGUAGAUGUAAUUUGUAAACCUUGAGGGGAGCUACAUGCAAUUGUCAUAAGCUGUAGGGAAGGUUUGUGAUGUUAUCCCCAAAAUUCAUACAACUCUCCAAAGUCUAAAUGAAUACAAAUCUUGCCCUAAGAAGAAUCUUCUUACAUCUGAGCCAAAUUACAAUGUCUACUCUGUGGUUUGAGCAAAAUCAACAAAUUAAAAUCAAACUUCUUGCAUGUAAAAGCAUUUAACAAAUAUUCACUCACGUUAACUGUCAUUAAAAAUAUUAUCAAAAGAUAUGUUUGAAAGUCCCAAAAACCUAUUUGAAGUUUGAUUAUUUACAUUUACCUCCAUGAAUUCGGUCAAACAACUAAACGCACCUUAUAUUUUGAUCCAUUCAAUAUCCAACUCUUUGGUUAGCCAAACUAUUAUCAGAUAGACAUUCUCUAUGGUCAAUUUUAAGUAAUGUCAACGAAAGUUUUAUUGGAAUUUCAAAAGUAAGAACAAAAACUCAACUUUCAAUUAUUAACCUAAACAAAAACAAUUUUGGACCAAAUUGCCAAGUUUAUUGAGCUAAAUUUUCUCUUUCCUAUACUUAAUUCUAUAUGCAAAAUUAAUGAAUGAUUUCUGUAUGAAUUAGUGGGUUGGGAGAGUAUGAUAGCAAAUCAUAUGCGUCUAAAGCAAGGAAAAAGAAAUGUAAGGAAGUACUUUUUAUAAUUAAUUUUUCCAUUUGUUUAAUGUUUGAUGCUUUUAUGACUAGCAAUUGGUUGAUUUAUUUUAAUUUUAGUUUCGCUUUUUCUUUUUGGAUGUAUGUCAAGGACUUUCUGUGCAUAAUUUGCUAUUCAAAAGCUUUAGGCUACAUGUUUCUCAAACUAUAGGAGUCCAUUUUAUGAUUUGGACAAAUUUUAAAGGAGAUAAAUUUAUUAUUAGAAAAAAGAGGCAUUCUCAUUAUUUCCUUUGGUUGGGUUUGUGGUCGGUCGCUUGUAGGGGGUGAAUGUAAUUCGGUUAAACUAUAGAGUUUAUCUGGUAAACUUAGGGGAGAAAAAGGUAACAAACUCAACAAAAAAUAAAAAGAAACUCAUAAACUUUUAACUAAAUUUGUUGUUGUCACGUAGAGUAGCACAUAAAGUAGCAAAACAAUUCAAACGAGUGUUCAUAUAGCAACAAACAUUACCGACCCUGGAAAUCGCAUUCGAUCCUGAGCCCCCCUUAAAAGAGUCUUUUAUCGGAUCUCACCCUAAAAUUUUGAUACCUAUAACAAGUUUGACAUCUACAAACAAAUUUUUUUUUUUCAUAAUAGGAGUAGUGAUUUUUUAGAAUUCCAAGUAAAUCACCAAUUAUUUGAGAGUGAUUUUCUGGAAUUCCAAGUCAAUCACAGAUAUUCAAAUUAAAGAAAAAAAGGUGUAAAGAGUGACGGAAAAUAUCGAAUGCUGAGAGGGUUGAGAAUAAUUCUGAUUAUGAAUUUAGGGUUUAUAGAUUUUUGUUUAAUGUGAUUUCUCGUUAGUUGGAUCAUUGAUACACUGGCUGGAUUUUGUAAUAUUCAAGAAGAGGGAAUAGCCAAAUAGGUUUUGAGAUAGGAUUAGACUGAUGAAAUCACGUGAGUUGUUACGGGGUAAAAUUGGAUUAAUUAAAUCCCGUGAGCUGUUACAAGUGUCAAAUUUUCAGGGACUCCCUAAGGGAGCUGAGGAUUGGAUGCGCCUAGAAAUGUGUAAAACAAAUAUUAAAAUUGGUUAGUAAAAGCAAAAUAUCUUCUGGCCUUUGGGCAGUAAUUUGCUGCCACUAUUGAAACGACAAAGUGUAGCCAUCCAGCAAAACUGUGCAAGGAUACAAGCUUUCAGUUUAUCAUAACUGAUCAUAAUACUACAAAUGCAGGGUAGAUUGUUUGAACAUGCACGUCGAUCAAAUGGAUAAGCCUAUCAGCCAUUCAAGGUUCCAUGCAUGGUUGCAUGAUUUGUAGUGCCGACUGCCAAUCUUGCCCUUGUACCAAGCAUUUUAAAAUAUCACCAACCAUAUGGGAUUUCUCUGACAUAUUAUUGCGGCUCAAUCAUCAUUUUUCCAGAUUCUCUAUCUAUACUCUCGUGCAUGUAUGUAAUUCUUCAGGGGCUACUUUCAUUAGAUCAAAGUUUGACAGUGUCACAAAAUUUUGCAUUGUAUUAACACUCUAAUUUUCUCGUUUUGCCUUUUUCCUACCUUUCCACCCCUCCUUAUACCCUCUCAUUCCAAACUGCAAGAAAUAUAGGAUUCGACCCUUGAUAGUGGAGAAGACUUUAGAAGUCCUUCCCUAAAUACUUACCUCAGUGAUUUACUCUUUUUUCUCAUUGGAGAACCAUGAUUUGAAUUAUUUUGUCCUCAUCUUCUUUCCAUUCUUUAUACUCAUUAACAUACCAAUCAAAAUGGCUCGUGAGACACUAGAAGACGUUGUUGAUUCUAGUCCUCAUCAGUCAUCCUCAUCCCAUACCCAAGUUGGACCUCCCUGCAAUUCCCGAAGGAAAAACACGACAAAAGAGACUGAAAAAGAUUGGAUGACUAGUUUCUGCGCCGUACUAAUACAACUUUGCUAAGAUAGAACAGAGGUCGUAAAAAAUUUAGAGCACGAAAAUCUAAAUAAACCGGAUCUUAAUUCGACAAAAGGCGAAAUCUCAAGUUGGAAGUCACAAGGCACCCAAAAAAAUAACUAAAUUUGUGCAAGAUGCGUGAACCACUCGAAUCUUGAAUUUUUUUUUUUUUUUUUUUGUAAUUUUUUAAAACAGGGAAUGGAUGCAAUUUAAUAUAGCAGCUUUUCCAAGCAAGCCUCUGGAAUCUCCUGUAAACCCCCAUGAUUUGGUAAAGGGAGGAUAUUAGGGGAAGCAGUGAAGCCCAACAGUUAGCAUCCUCCCCUUUCUCCUAAAAGGUUGAAGCUGAAGUGGAACACACCAUUAAGAAAAAAAAAAAAAAAAGGAGUUCUGCAUCUCUCCGGCGCCGAGGGAACAAAUGGGCGUGGGGAUGAUUCUUCUUCCAUUCCAAGCUUAUCAACGUCGUAACAAGGUAGCUCUAGGGACAAAAUAUGGCUAUAGAUUGAAUCCUUUUUAUUUAUUGUAUUAUGAUAUUUAGAUAUAUAGCUAUGCUUAGGGGUAUGGAACUUAGCAAGGUUUCUCGAUCAACUGCUCCUGGGGAAUCCCCCAAGAUUUCAGGCAACUCUGACUCAGAAGCACAAAAACUCUGCUUGCUGGAAGCCCAAUUCUCAAAAAUCACGGGAGAAAGAAAGAGAAAUUCAGCAAAAAAGAAACUCAAAACCUCUAAUUCUUGGAAACCGUAGUCACCACUCCUGAAUACUUGGCCCAAGGUACUCUUUUGGUUUCAUCUGCGAAAUAUCUACUCUCAAGGACGGGUGAGGAUUAACAAGAUCCAGGCCAGUGUGUUUCUUAACGGGGACAAAGUUGAUUAAUCCGUUAAAUCCAAUAUGCAAUUGCGCCAUCUGAAAUUAUUACUAGAUAAACACAGUUGGCAAAGCAUUCAAUUUCAGUUGCAUAACAACAAAGAGGAUUGUCGGGGAUAGACAUCAGAAAUUUGGAACAAGAAUAUCUAAAUGCGAAUCUUGCUAUGACAAAAGAGUGCAGCCUCAAAUUGAAAGUCAUAUAAAAAUGUACUAUAUUUUGAGAACAUGGAUAGAACAUGGAUGAAAAAUUACAAUAUGCAAUGUAAAAUAUUUAUCUUUAUUUUUCACAAAAUAUACUACUUUAAUGUGCAUAGUGUAGUCAAUGUCUAUGUAUAAUACACUACACCUACAAACAUAAAGUACUAUUCUUUUUCUAUAUUUUGUAUGUAUAAUAUUUUCUUGUAUUGAAAAUGAAAAAAUAUUUAAAUAUAAUAUGCAAACCAUGUUAUUUUUAAUAUAGCUAUUCAGAAAAAGUACACCUUAAAGAUGAUUCUCUGAAACAAUUGAGGGGAAACUAUCAUAUACAUUAUCAUCAUUCAUUUUUUAUAAAGUGGAUGAUUUAAUACUUUACCUGCAUGCAUGAUUUUAAUAUAUAAGAUUUUGAUCUAAUAGUGCAUUAAAUUUGUUGAAGUGAAUCAUUUUUGUUUUUCUUUUCUACUACUUACUUUUCCUUUUUUUUUUUUUUUUUUUUUUGCUUUUCACUUUCCAUGUGACUAUUUUCUUCACUUUCCCAUUAGUAUUAUUGCUAAUUGUGUGCUUAUUUAAAUAUUUUAUUUUUCUCUUACUCAUAAUUUCAUUCUUACUUUGAUUCAUUAACUUAUUUAUUUAUAGUAUUAAGAAAUUCAUGAUAAACUAUAUAGCAUGACAAAAUAUUAAAUACAUGCCAUAAUCACAAGAGUAUAUAACUAGUAAUUUAACUGUUUAACAGAUAUUAGCAAACUAGAAUCUUUAUUAUAUAUUUCAGAGUAUAUGCCAAAUAAAUAAAGUAAGUAGUAUUCAUAUGAAUUUUAUGCAUAGACAAUUAAAAGUUAUGUGAUUAUGAUCUAUUUAUUGGUUAUUUUUUAUUAUCAAUUAAUUAAUGUAAAUGCCAUAUGGAAUAGUCUAUGUGGAUAGCUAAUAUAGACUUUGUUAUAGUGUAGAAUUUGUUAUCCUUAUUACAUUUUAAAAAAAAUUAGCAAAAUAAAUGUGAGAUUUAAGAAGAGGGAGAGGGAAGGGGAGAUUUGUGAUUAUUAUUACUUCUAACAGGAAAAAGUAAAUAGCACUAUAAAUAAAGAAUAUAUUUAUGAAAAUUAAAAAUAAUACAUAGAUAAUAAUAAUAAUAAUAAUAAUAAUAAUAAUAAUAAUAAAGAAAAAAAGAAAGUAGUUGGUCACAUGAAAGAAGGGAGAAAAAUUGAAAACCAAAAAUAAAAGGGACAAAAGAAGAAAAGAUAUAUAAAAAUAAUUACUGCAAAGAACAGGCACUUUUGCUUUUUUUGUUUAAAUUUCCAGCAAGGGAGAUGCACUUUUAUCCUAAAACAUCAUGUAGGAGCGCAAAGUAUCUAUUGAAUGAGUUCAAGUAGGUAACAUGCAACUCGAGGCAAAGUUCAAAAGGAUUUUACUGCAUUCAACCCUAAAAGAAGUCACUAAAUAAUAUAAUAUACUAAUAUUAGAAUUGAGACUCUUACAGAGUUUUUUUUUUUUUUGUGCAUCACCACCACAACGCACUCCACCAAAGGCCACAAGAGAAUGAAAGCUCAAGUUUCAGAAUUUUUCCCUUUUGUAUAAUUUGAGUUCUGCCUCGUGUUGUCUCACUUAUUUUGAGCUUUAGAAAUAUGUCUUGAUCUUUGUAUUCUUCCUUAUAAUAGCAAAAUUUGCUCUCUUCCACUCUUUAGAAACAUCCGUCGUCUAUUUGACCGAAUUACAUAAAUCUUAGUGUCUUUAUCUUUUAUUAUUUUACAUUUUUAUUAUAGUUUUCAUUAUUAAUUGUGUGAGUAACCAAAUAACUUUUGGCCAAAUCCUAACACAUGUUAACUGAUCACAACAUCAUUUGGUUCGUGUCCUAAUGGAAAUUGACCAGUAAUGGGCAGGCCUAUAUUCUCCGGGAAAAUUCUGAUAGAAAAUCAUGAGCUCUCAAAAUUUAGUAAAUGUUGAACGAAAAUGAAAACUUAAUUCGCUUUUAUUAGGCCUUGGCGGGCCUUUCGGUGCAUCCUUGGUUUUAGAUCAUUUUGGGUUCAAAAUUUUCCUCAGUUUUAUUUGGGCCCAACAUAAUCGAGUCCAAACACCCUUUGGGCACUUGGUUUCCCAAUCUGAAAAGCUUUAAUAGCCCGAGAAAUACAUAAAUUCAUUAACUAUCAAGGAACAGAAUGGAUUAAAUGGCAUAUGCAUUACUGAAAAUUAGAAUUUCAAUAGAAGAGAAAGGACGUCCAACAACAUCAGGAGCAAUUCUUUUAGGCACAACAAUGCCAAAUUAUCUGCAGAGUAUGAAGCUCUUCUCAAUGAUUUUUGCAUACUCUUCCAAGCUCCCCAAGCUAGUUGCUCAUGUAGUUGUUGCUAUAACUGAAUCAAUAUGUUACCAGUAGAUUUAUGAUCAUUCUUGAAAAUACAAAUCCGUGCUACAGUUAGAGGGUCACAAAGAAAAAAUUGUCCUUGUCACUGAAAACGAUUUUAGUUUUUUGUUAUUAAGGAUUACAAACAAAUACAACAUCUAGGUAAAGUCAAUGGAUAGCGUUCAGGUUGAAUCUGAUUGAUCCAAAUCCAAGCUCACUGCAUUUGUCAAUUACCGAGACCCUCAUGGUUAGAAAAUUCUAACUCGAAACCUUAUGGAUCUAGCUAGCCAUUGGGUAUGAACAUGUAUUUCUUGAUGUGCAAUUAGAAAUAAGGACAAAAUACUCAUAAUCCCCCCGUACUUCUGAAUGAUACCACAUGAUCUCCCCAAGGUUAUAAAAUGUUCACUUAAUCCCCUGUGAUUUUUAUGUAAAUUGAAAAUUUGAUGAAAAAUAGUUUCCGUAACAUCAUCAGUUGAAAUGCUAGUGUCGGACUUACUUGAAUACUAAAUUAAAUAAUGGCCUAACCAUUUUGCUUACCGUCAUAAUGGGAUUAUGUGGAUAGAUGCAAAACUACAAGGUGAUUAAGUGGAUAUUUAUCCAAAACUAUAGAGGGUUAAAUAGAUAUUUUAAAAUAGAUAUCCAAAACUACAAGGUGUGUCUCGGUCAAUUGCUAUAACCAGAAAUUUUUCAUCUAUUUUUCACUUUAUAUAAAACCAAAGGAGGAUGAUAUAUGGACAUUUUGAAACAUUAAAGGGCGUCAUGUGAUAUCAUGCAAAAGAAAGUACAAGGAGUUACAAAUCAUUUACCCUGAAAACAAAUUCAAAAAAUAAUAAAAACAUAUGAAAUUCAAAGAUAACAAACCUAUAAUCCAAAUGCCAUUUUCAAAUAACAAAAUCAACAUUUUAUACUAUAUAUAUCUAUGUAUGUGUGUGUGUACACACACACAUAGACCAUACAAAAUCCAAACUUGUAAUUCUUUCACCAUGUCUCAAUUCAGAUAGGGUGUAGGUUUGAAAAAUUGGAAAUCAACCUAGGAAAAUAAUGAGGGAUCUAGAUAACACUCAUCCCAUUGACGUGGGAGUUAAGAUCUUCUCCAUUAGAUUUCUUUAAAUAUAUUUAAAUUACUAUGACUUUAUAAAAUUAUCUGAUUAUGUCAUUACUUUUAUUUUAAUCUCUAGAUCAACAUACUAAAAAAUAAUAUUGCUUUGAGAAUGUUUUGGCAUUUAAUUUAUACUAAACAUUUGAAGAGUGAAAAAUGAGUCACAAUAAUAAACAAAUUUAUAGUGAUUAAUCAAACGAUAAAAUUUAGUCAAUUUCAUAUGAAAUUUUAUAUAUAACUUACACAAGUGAGGAAAUGGUGUCCGACAGCUUUUUCAAUUCCAAGAUCAUUUUGUUCACAUCUCUCACUGUUUUCGUCAAGCUAACCUAGUUGUAGAUAUCCUUUCUAAUGUUGGGUGUGUAGAUGUUUUGGACAAGUAUUGCAAUGGCAAAAAGUUACGGCAUGAUUCUCAACAGCUUCUACAAGCUUGAAGCAGCCUAUACUGACUUCUGGAACAGAUGCAUUGGGCCCAAAGCCUGGUGUGUUGGUCCUCUAGCGGAAGCCAAGCCACCAGUAUUAUUAGCUGAAGAAUCUGCAAAGCCAAAGUGGAGGCACUGGCUUGACAAAAAAUUGCACAAUGGAAAGUCAGUUUUGUACGUGGCAUUUGGAACUCAGGCUGAAGCAUCCCAAGAGCAACUGCUUGAAAUUGCAAAUGGUCUAGAACAAUCUAAGGUGAAUUUCUUGUGGGUCAUAAAAUCAAAACGGCUGGAGAUCUUGCAAGGGUUUGAAGAAAGGGUGAAGGAUAGAGGGAUCAUAGUGAAAGAAUGGGUAGAUCAAAUGGAGAUACUUAGGCACGAGAGUGUAAAAGGGUUCUUGAGCCAUUGCGGAUGGAACUCAGUUACUGAAAGCAUGUCAGCCGGCGUGCCCAUCUUGGCGAUGCCAUUCAUGGCUGAGCAACAUCUCAAUGCAAGACUUGUAUCGGAGGAGGUUGGUGUAGGCCUGAGAAUUAUGCCAUGCAAUGGAUCUGUGAGGGGCUUUGUGAAGUCAUCGGAAGUGGAGAAGAGAGUGAAAGAACUGAUACAAGGAACGAAAGGGGAGGCGGUAAGGAAAAAGAUGGAAGAGGUUGGAGAAGCUGCUUGUGAUGCAAUGAGAGAAGGUGGUUCCUCAUGGGAAACUCUAGAUCAACUCAUCCAUGAUAUAAGUAACUACACAAGAUUAACUCCUCUUAAUCAUGGAUUGGUAAGUGAACCUAGGACAGUUUCAGUUAGUUAAUAAUUUGUUUAUGUGUGAUGAAUUGGUAUACACUAUGGUUGUACGUACAGCAAUACCAUAUGGGGCUACUACAGUUUUAUGUAAAUCAACUUUCGUAACAGUACAACAACAUUAUACAUUAGCGUAUCCCAAAUCUCAUGAAAAAUACACAUCACCUGUAUGCAACCCCGAAGUCUUAACUGCAGUGUCCCUGGUUUGUAAUAAGUUGUCAAGCAACCGAAAUUGUUCUCCUAUCGUUUGGAAUCAACUUUGUUUUUCUUCUAUGUGUAUUGUAUUUAUUUGGGAUCCAAAAGUUAGACCUAGGUUGAUUUUAAAGUAGUGAAAUCUGAUUAAUAAUUUGGAAGGGCUAUGCAAUAGCGACCUCAGAACCUUGCAUCCAAAUCAACCUUGAGAUCCUUGGCUUUGAUUAUUCGACUUGUACAGUAAAUAAAAUCAUCCAAAAUGUCAAGAAGCAAACUUUCAUAAAAAAGCCCGUGCAAAAUCCUAGAAGACAUAUCUAGUCUACAGAUGUCUGAAGCCCACAUAUGCGUGUCUUCUACUAGAGAGUUAUUUUACAAGCACAACAUCAAAGAAGAAAAUUUAUUAUGCUAAUGCUACUACAACUGAAGACAAAGGGUUUAAAAUACAUUCAUGCAAUAGGGUGUACAGAAAUUAUCUAGAGGUCUAUGCGUUCACUACUUCUAUUGAUCUUAGAAAUCCAUCUAGUAUUUGCCCGCCGUGUACACUCAACUCGCAGGACAAACUAAAGAGUCUACUGCUGUUCUUCUUGCAUUUUUGUCAACAUCCAAGAAGAGAUUUCCAACCAAAUAGGAGAGAGAACAGAUACAAAGUCCAAAAGCCUUUUGUUUCGCUCAUACUUCAUAACGAGGCCUUUUCUUAAAGAUCUAAAGAAGCUCUAAACCUUCUUACAAGGGAUAAAGGAAAGGGAUCAAGGGAACGGGGAAAAGCUUAAGAGUAGAAUCAGGGAUAGACCACCACGUGAUCCUAAUCAUCCCAAACGCCCACCACUUGUACCUUGCUCUGUUGCUCAAACAAAAUAUUUCCAGCAGUCUGAAAUACUUCCUUAUCGCAACGCGUGAAUUUUUAAUGUGACGAAGGUUGGGUCUUUCAUACUUGAAAAUGCUACUGCUUUAGAAAUAGUUGUUUUAUUUUUUUUUUUUUUUGACAAAUUUGUCGCAUUAACCCCGCAACAGGACAAUUUUGAUAUGCUCCCUGAUAAGCUUGCACAUCACAAUGGAUGGCGUGUUAAAAAAGAUGAUCAGAUUCAUAAAGAUACAUCAAACGUUUGAAGGGAUUUAGAGCACUCUCUCGUCUUCUUCACUGCUAAGUCAUGCAAAUGAGAGCUGUUUACAGUCAAACUAGCUCGAAUAGGGUCCAGAAAUGGAACUUAGGACUUCAUACACUUCGUAGCCACAUGACAAUAUGUAUUCAAAUUCUGAAGUUGGUAAUAAAAUUCAAUUAGCAGAACAUUUUUGUUUCAAAACAGAUAAGAAAACUGAAAGGCCAACAGUUAAUGGUUCACUCUGUCUAACUAAAACUAUUUUUGCAAACCUUCAAAACUUUGAAAGAUACAAAAUGGAAUAAAGUGACGAGCCAAAUCAGUCUUUCAAUUUCCCUAGAACCAUAUAAGCAGGAGGAAACAUGACUUGACUUUGUUUCACUUUCAAAUAAGAUCCUUCGCAUCCAAACAAUAGCUAGCCAAAGCAAAUUGAAGAGCCACCUUAAAUGUCAUAUCUCAAAACGAAAGGUAGGAAAAAUAUUUUCAUCCUUCACAAAAUGACAUGCAUCCAUGAUGAGACCACACCUAGUUAAAACUAGUCUACAAAUGAUAUUUGAGAAAGUACAUCACAUGAUUCUCGAAUAAAUUCGCCUAGAGAUGGCUAAUCUAAAGCAGUUUUACGUACAUACAUAUUUAUCAUAUAAAGGCUGCAUUAAAAUGCUCUAGUAAUGUAUCAUAAACCCAGGAACCUACAAGUCCAAAUGUUUAAGAUCUCUCCAGUCCAAGAAGAAAGCUUUUAACCAUAUUCCAGGGACAUUACCUUCCAAAACCCCAAAGAAAAUGGCCUUGUCAUUGCAGUGAUUGGUGUAAAACCAACUACAGUGUCCAGAAAAUUGAACAUUAGCUUGUUUUGCCGCCUUAAAAUGCCAAGAGAUGCAUUCAUACUCCUGAAAAUAAAAUAAAAGCGUGCCCAUUGGCUGUUUAUGAGAAAUCUACAAACCAAACAACCAAGCUGAAAGUUGAACAUCAAACUGUCUUUUCUGCAGUCAGUUCUACGGAGCUCACACGCUCCCAUGAUUAACAAGGUACCCAUUUCUGUAGAAGAGAAAACCAUAGAGGUAGAGCUCUUGCCAUUCUUUGGUUUAUGUUGUAUUAUUCAUCAGCAUACAGAUAAUCAUCCAACAAAGGAGGUGCUUCCCGAAAGCAUUCUACGAAGUGUCCAUCUUUUAUCUUUUCCUUUUUUUUAUCUUUUUUUGGGUGGUUCUGACCAAAGUAUUGCCAUAUGCGUCAGAAAAACCUUAGUUGCAAGUUUUCCUUUAAAAGAAAAAAUAAUUAAAACUCCAGAUCAUGAACUUAGCGCAUUAAGAUUCAUCAAAUCUCCAUUACUCUUUAACCAAGGGUACAAGGCACAGUGUCAGAAAUAGUAACAAUCAUCUCUACACUUAGCUUAGUUCUUCUCAUUGUUGCUCUCCAGCUCCCUCCUAAGCUGCAGCGAGAAGUCAUCAUUUACAUCAUCAUCAUCCCAAUCAUCUUCCCACUGCUGGGUUACUUCUUUGCCUUCCUCUUUGUCCUCCCACUCUGCCAUUUCACAAUAAAGUGAAGAAAUGAUUAAAAUACAAGUGCAGACAACGUCUAAUGAACCUAUGCAAGAUCAGAAUCUUCGUUAUCAUCACCAAAACACAUAUUUAAUGGUAACAAAGAAUUCCAAAUAAUAAUGCUAAAACACAAACCAGCAAAACUGCAAGAAAGUGGAAAUUACAUGUGAGACUUUAGUAGCAUGAGGAAUUGAAUGAGAAUCUCAAUUGAGUGAAACUUAUCAUACGUGUCAAGAUUUACCUCAUUGCGUGCAUUUUACAGCAAAACAUCAAAAAUAAAAGCAAGCAGCUACAGAAUAACAAGAGAGCCAAACAGAACAAAUAAGAAGUAUGAACAGCCAUUAAAACAACCUAAAGUAACAAUGGUUACUCUACAUACCCUAAGAGCAAAAUACAUUUCAGAACUUUCUUGGCCAAACAAAUAUAGCCCUAAAGAUAAACAACAAUUAAGCUCCAACGUGGGGGCAGUUUGAUAAGGGUCCACCUGUCUGACUCAAUAAUUAUGCACUUGACAGAAAGAAACCCCCCCCCCCCAACAAAAAAAGAGCCCCUUCUUAUCCAGAAUAUCCAGGUAACCAGAGAAACAAUUGGCAUCUUUCCUCCUCUGGAUCCACUUCCUUUCUUUUCCCCCUUUGGUGCUCACAAAGAAACACACACUCCAACUCAACACACUGAACUAAACCCACACCGGUUGACCUGUUGAUAUAAAGAAAGAGGGAGGGGUGUCAAAUGGUCAGGGAGGCUUCGAAGUAAUGGAAGCCUAGCCAUUGUAAAAGGCAAGGGCAGAAAGUCCUGCAACAGUGGUUCAUAGAGGAAGGAAAAAGGUAGGAAAAGAGGGGCUGGCAGAUAGAGGGAUCGAUUUAUAACCAAGGAUUCCAGAGGCACUGUAACAAUGGAUAAUUUAGGGCAUCCUAUGAUAUGGCCACAUUAAGUAAAUUUAUGAAGGUUUUCAAUUCAAUUGUUGGCGAGGCCUCAACUUCCAGAGUUCUUUAGCCAUCCUCUAGGACCUUUGCAAUUAUCAUUCUAAAAAUUUACAAAAAAAAGACUACAGAUAUGAGAAAGAAGAAAAAUAGAUGGGUAUAGAAGACCGAAUUGAACUGAAGGGGGAAAAGCUAUGCUAUGAAACCUUGGCAGAGAAUGCAUUGAAUUCAAUUACACCUCAUCAAUUGGACCUUCGUUUUUGUGGUAAACACAUCUUCCCUUUACAAGCCCUUGCUUUUCCCCUUACAGUGCUUUAAAUUAUUUUUAAAAAUAAAGGACACACACACACAACAUAACCACAGACCCUCCCGCUCACAAGCAGCAUCAUGAACAUCAAUAACAAAGUUCAAUAUGCCCACAAAACAAACACACUCAAACACAACAAGAAAAUACAUACAUGCAGACCCACACAAUACCUGUUUCAAAUGGUCAGGGAGGCAAGGGAAGUGAUGAAAAUCUAGCCACUUUGGAAGGCAGGGGCUGAGUCCUGCACUGGUGGUUUGAAUAGUAACAAAAAGGGAGGAAGAUGUAUCAAUUUGUAUUUAGCCGAGGGUUCCAGAAGCACCAAAACAAAGAAUAAUUUGGGGCAUCCUACGAUUCGGCCGAAUAAGUGAAUUUACGAAGGUUUUGCAUUAAAUUGUUAGAGAGGCCUCAAUUUCCAGAGUUCUUCACCCCUCUGCUGGGACCUUCACCAUUAUUAUUGCUACAAUUAAUAAAAAAGGACUAUAUAGAUGUGGGAAAAAAAGAGAGGAUAGAUCUGCAUAAAGGACCGAAUUGGAGUAGAUCCUAGUCGGCGAUCUGGGAUUCCAGAGCUAAGCUAUACAAAGGCAAACUUGGCCAAGAAUGCAUUGAAUUAAAUUACAUCUCGUCCAUAGGAACUUCACUUGUAGUCGAACAACAAUGUAAGUUAGAUUUAAGAAUGUAAUAAAAUAAAUAAAAAAGGAAAAAGAGAGUGCUCAGUGAAUACGAACCUAUAGAAAGAGGUUCACAUUUUGAGAGAAUAUCUCACAAAAUCACUCAGAUUUCCUAUGCUAUCUUCAUUGCAACUCCCUACUCCAAAUUAUCCAGGUAAAGGGAAAAAACAUUUGACAUCUUCCCUCCGCCACAUCCCGUUCCUUUCGUUUAACCCUAAAAUGCUCACACAGGAACACAUUAAAACAGACAUGCCUACAGAACUCCCUCUCACAAGAAGAACCAAAAACACUAAUAACAGAGUUAGAAAUGUCACAACACAACACAAACGCACCAAAACACACACAAAAUGUAUACAUGCAGAGGCUACACAUGUUCACCUGUUCAUAAAAGAAAUGGGGUAUCAAAUGUUUUGGGAGGCUUGGGAAAUUAUGAAGGUCUAACCAACUUGAAAGGCAGGUGGCUGAAUACUGCAGUCGUGGUUAGCAGAGGAAGGAAAAGGCAUAAGAAAGGGGCCUGCAGCUAGAAUCAGAGGACAAAAGGGGCUGGCACCCAGAAGGAUCAAUAGACAAGGAUUCCAGAAGUACCAAAACAAAGGAUAAUUGGUACAUCCCACAAUUCGGCCCAAUAAGCAAAAUUACAAAGGUUUUACAUUCAAUUGUUAGAAGGGGCCUCAGUUACCAGAGUUUUUUACUUUUUUACCCCUCCACUGGGGCCUUUGCUAUUACUAUUCCUAGAAUUGACAAAAAAAGGGUAAGAUUAUAUAGACAUGAGAAAGAAGAAAAGAUAGAUCAGCACAAAAGGCCAAAUAUGAGUGAAUCCAAGACGGGCGAUCUGGGAUUCCAGAGCUAUGCUAUACGAAGGUAAAUUGGCUGAGAAUGCUUGAAAUUGAAUGACAUCUUAGCCAUAACACCUUCGCUUUUGUAGUUGGUGAUUUGCAGGUCAAAAUGCAAGAUUUGAGAAAUUGUAAUAAAAUAAACAAAAAGGGAAAAGAAGAGUCCUGAGUAAAAAUACGAACCAACAGAAAGGUCCAUGUUUUGCAAGAACAUCCAACAAAAUCACUUAAUUUCUUAUGCAAUACUUUAUCAUGACUCACUACUCCAGACAACCCAGAUAAAGGGAAAAACAUCUGGCAUCCUCCCUCCUCCGCAUUCCCUUCCUUCUUUUCCCCUUCAGUGCUCACAAAGAAACAUGCUACAAAUAACAUAUCUACAGACCCUCCCUCACCAGAAGCACCAUGAACACUAUUACUAGACCUGGAAUAUGUCUAAAACACACACACACACACACUGAAACAUGCGUACAUGCAGACCCAGACACGUUAAGCUGCUCAUAAAAAGAAACAGAGGAAGGGGUGUCAAAUGUUUGGGAGGCUUUGGCUAGUCAUGAAUGCCUAGCCAUUUUGAAGGCCAAGAGCUAAAAGUCCUGAAGCGGUCAUUUGCACAAGGAAAAGGGAGGAAGAAAGGGACCGGCAGGGAUCAAGAUCAACGUAUAUAUAGCUGAGGGUUCCAGAAGCACCAAAAUAGAGAAUAAUUUGGAGCAUCCUACGAUUCAGCCAAUAAGUAAAUUUGCGAAGGUUUUGAAUCAACUCGUUAGAGAGGCCUCAAUUUGCAGAGUUCUUUACCCCUCCGCUGGGACCUUCACAAUUAUUAUUCCAAGGGUUGACAAUAUACAUAUACAUAUAGAUGUAGGAAUCGAAAAGAUAGAUCUGCAUCAACGACCGAAUCAGAAUGAAUCCAAGUCGGAGAUCUGGGGUUCCAGAGCUAUGCUAUCCGAAGGCAAACUUGGCCGAGAAUGCAUUGAAUUGAAUUACAUCUCGUCCAUAGGACCUUCGGUUUUGUAGUUGGUGAAUCAUGAGUGAAAAUGUAAGAUUUUAGAAUUUGUACUGGUAUUCAAAAAGAAAGAGGGAAAAAGAGAGUGCUCAGUGAAUACGAACCAAUAGAAAGAGGUUCACAUUUUGCAAGAACUCUUGCUAAAUCACUUGAUUUCCUAUUCUAUCUUCAUUGCAACUCUUUCCCCAGAAUAUCCAGGUGAAAAAAAAUUCUUUGAUACAUGUAAAAUACUAAUUAACAAUAACAGUCUCACACAGGAAAAGAAAAUCAUAGAAUCACCAAGAAUCAAUUUACAUCUUACAGGCAUCAAAAUCUCGAAACAAACUGCAUUCGGUAAUUAAUAUAUACAACAAAAUAACCUAACCUAUCUAUGACAUCACUUUGCGGUGCAUCUACCGUGCAGACAACACAUGUAUUCAUAUAGCAAAAACCAAUCAAACAGGCGGAAAUAAAAACGUUCAAAGUAUUUACUUUGACUAAAAAAACCGAAGAUUACGCUGAAAUCAGAACAACAAGAAACUCGACAGUGAUUAGAGGUAAAAAGUCAAGCAAGGGAGUUGACAUACCCUGAUCAAUUUCAAACUCCUCAAAUUCAUCGUCGUCUUCAAAAAGAUCAAUCUUCGCGUCCUCGGUAGCUGCCUUUGGUUGCUCAGUAGUUGCCAUUGUCAGUCACUCAAAGCAAAACUACACAUCAAAUUUUUCAUAAAUAUAAGAAAUGUACAGAUCGUGGGUAAAUAACCUAUGUUGCCACGAAAGCCCUAGUUCAGAAAAUAAAUAAACAAAUCGAAAAAAUCAAACCAAAUAAUCAAUAAUCAGCUAACUAGUUAAUAUAUCAGUCAACACAACCAACAGACAUCGAGACUGCAAGCAAAAAUCGAGCAAAUGAAACGAACGUAUGACUUCCAUCACCGCAAAGAGGAAUUUGGAGAAAUAUAAAAUCAGAGCAUCCUUAAAAUAUGUAAAAAUAUGGAAAUACGAAGAAAAAUGAAUCGAAUAAAAGACAGAUGUAAUUACCUUACCAGCGUAUACUUGGUUCUUCGAUCCUAAAACCAAAAAAGAUCGGAAAAAGAAGAACCAGAGAUUAGCACAGCAAAUCCAAUCGAAGUAAGGUAGUCAAGAACGGGGUGUUUGGAAUGAAGAGGAAGGGGGGCUAGGGUUUUGAGAGGAGCGUACCUGAAAAAUCUGGAGGAAUCUUGUAGAUGGGGAAAGGGAUUAGGUCAUAAGCAAGUUUAUAUACUCUUUUUGCAAAAUCCAAAAAUGUUUUUUUUCUCACUCUCCUCCUCCCUAAAGGUUAUUCUACAUUGAAUAAUUUUUUGUUGGCCCUAAAAAGGAGCAAAAGUUUUCAAUUAAGCUCCAAAAAGUGAAAAUGUUGUAAUUUGGCUCUUAUGAUACAUUAUAAAAUUGAAUCUAACUUUAUUGACAAUACCGUUAUUGAUUGUAAAUCAACAAUCAUGCUCCCAAUGAGUUGAGAAGCUGAAUAUUUUUUUUAUGAAGAAGCUGAAUAAUCACUCAUUAGGACUUUUAACAAUAUCUUGCAUGAUCAAAAAAGGAAAUAUAAGCUUCGUUGGAGGUAAAAUUGAAGCAUUUCUAGUUUUUGGGGCUUUAUUAAUUACUUUGCAUGAUAAAUAUGAAGUAACUUAUUUGCUAUAUAGCGGAUUUGACUUCUCUUCAAUGGAUACUCUCUUCAUUUUUCACAGUAUACAUAUCUUCAUUUAUUAAUAAGAGUUAGGAUUAGUCGAACUUAAAAUGAUUAUGUUCCUAAUAAUGAAAACAUGUUAUGCAUCUAGAUGUACAUUGUAAAAUAUGGAAAGAGAAUACACUAGAAAGGAGCCAAUUCCAUGGUAAAAGUUGAUUAUACUAAGUGAUCUACAAAUUUGUGAAGUAAAUUACUACUCACAAUGUAGGGAAAAUUUUAAUGUAGCUUGAAUUUUGGUACCCUUUUUAUCAACUCUACUACCCUAAACUUUGUUAGAUUUAUACAUCUUCCCACUUAGCCGUUGCAUCUAUUUCAUUUUCCGUUUCUAAGGGAAUGCUUGAUUCAAGUUUAGGAAUCGGAAUUGUAAUUGGAAUCAUGUCCAAAAUUUGAGUAUGGGUUCUCAUCAAGGAUAUCAUUAUAAUAAUUAGUGUUUGGUAUAUACUUAUAAGUUUUUGGAAUCAAUUUUUUUUCGUUUUCUUGUCUUUAUUUUUUUUUUCUUCCUUCCCAUUUCCUGCUUCCUUCUUCCUAGCCUUUAAAUACUCAUGUUUCACCAAAUUCUCUUAAACCACCACCAAUCAACUUUAAAAUUUUGUGGAGCAUGGGAGAGCGACUGACAAGAGAUAAGAGAAAAGCUUACACAAAAAGAAAAAAAAAAGAGAGAAGAGAAAACCAGAUAGAGAGGAGCGAUUGUCGUGGAGGAUUGUAGGAGAGAGGAAAAGAGUGAAAAGAGAAGAAAAGGGAAAAUGAGAAAGAGAUUGACAAGAAAGGAGAGAGAACCAGAUGGGGUUGGGCUGCUGCCAUGGAGGAUUAGAGGAGAGAGUGAAAAGAAAAGAAAGAGAGAAAAUGAUGGUGAUGGGAGGCUGCCGUGAAAGAUGGGAUGAGAACGAAAAAAUGAAAGAGAAAAUAUGAUGGUAAGGUCACUAUAACAAAAAAGGUCAUUAGUGAAACAUUUCUUUGUGAUGACAAAAAGUCGUCACAAAAUGAGGUUGUUUAGUCACGACUUUGAAGGUUAUCACAAUUGAAUCAAAACAACUAAGUUUUCAGUGACAACUCUUAAUUGUCGUCACAAAACUACUUCGCGCCAUGGGACUUGGAAGGCGCAAGUUUUGCGAUAGUGACAACUUGAUAAAAGUUGUCAGUAAUUCUAUCUCUUUCUUUGACAACUUUUCAUUGUUGUCACUAUUUAUAUUUAUUGACGACCAUUUUUUGUCAGUAAAACUAUAGCGUAGUUAAUGACAACAUAGUAUCAUCACUAACUUGAACAUCUCCAAUGCAUUUAUUUAAUUGUGAGCCUCAAUAUUAAUUUAAUUUUUUUUAAAAUUUGAUGAUUUAUUAAACUAGUCAUAGUUACUCAAAUAAUAAUAAGUUUUUAACUGAAAAAAAUUAAUAAAAGUUUCUAGUUAGAACAACUAUAUAAAUUAUUACAACUUGAGAAAGAGUACAUUUACCAGUUCUUUGAAUUUAGCAAAAAAAUUUCAUCUAUUAUAAUUUUUUAAUAAAUAUGUUAAGCAGUAGUGAGUACAAAUACAUUAGUAAAUUUAAAUAAAAAUUGAAGCUAAAAAUUGACUUGGAUUGUCUUGAUUGAGUAGUACCAGAAAUUUGUUCAAACUAAAAAUGAAAAAAAGUGGCACAUGUACUAUAUAAGGAACCACUCUUACUCCCCACAUCCAGAUGUCUUCAGUACUCUUCACACUCUCAAUCCUUCAGUCAACUUCUUUAUUCUCAACCCCAUUUAUUCAUUUUCCAAAACCCUAGCAGCAAUGGAGGCGGGCAGGCAGCCAAGAGAAUACAGAACAUUGGUGACAGAAAAGGAAACGGGGCCUCACGAAUUCCAUUUCAGACCAAUUCACGGCUACAAUUAAAAGCAUCAGAAAGAGAAAAUGACACUAUCAUUUCUGCAGAACCGGUUGCAAUGUGAUGUGGGUAAAACAUUGGAAUAGAAAACAUAGAGACCCAACCCCAGGAAGAUGAAUGGAUCCCCUCAAACCCCUUAUCUCCUCCUCCCAUUUGCCAUCCAGGACAAGGAGGGCAUCCCCCCAAACCAGUAGUGCCUCAUCUUCACCGACAAGUAGCUGGAGGAUGUUGCACCCUAGCCGACUACAACAUCCAAAAGGAGUCCACCCUCCACCUUAUCCUCCGCCUCUGUGGUGGCACCAAGAAACGCAAGAAGAAGACCUACACCAAGCCCAAGAAGAUCAAGCACAAGAAGAAGAAGGUCAAGCUUGCCGUCCUCCAGUUCUACAAGGUCAAUGCUUAGCUAGGUCCUCUUAUGUCUCUACUUGUUUCCCUAAUUUUUCCCAAUUAAUUUGCCUAAAUUUUUCCCCAAGUAUAUUUUUGCAAAAUUUUUUGGUGGCUAGUUUGAGUCGUGGAUUUAAUCAUCUUUUUCUGCAAAAUUUGCCCUAAUUUUUUUUUUCACAAAAUUUUUUUGGUAAGGGAAUUCAAGGUAGGGGAUGAGGUAUUCAGAGACAUUCACGAGCAUGCUUUGUACCCAAAGGGAUGUGUGUCACUGGCGGAGUACAAUACAGUGGAGGAGAAGGUACUAGCUUCGAAGCUCAAGAAUUUGAGUUUUGCCGAGGCAGCUAACUUCCUGUUGCCGUUCAAAUAGCAUACGGGGGAACUUGAAAGCACUGGGCUUUCAGCUGGUAAAUCACUUCUUGUUCUGGGUGGUGCUAGUGGAGUUGGAUCUUUUAUCAUUCAGGUAAAAAUUUUGGCCUUUCUUUUUUCUUCGUUCAGCUUUAUCAUUUUCCUUGAAUAAUUUUGGGUUUCUUCAUUGUCUAGGUCUAUGCAACUGCUACUGCCUUUCUUGUAGUUUUUUUGGAGAGGAAGGGAAAUUUCCUGAUGCAGUGUAGUGGAGGUAGCUUUUUUUUUUUUUUUUACCAGUCAUUUAUAUCUAUUUUUAUUGUCUCUCUGCUAUAAGUUUUUAGUAUUCCAUUUUGAUGGACGAACUUUUUUUUAAACUGUAAAAGGAUUGGAAAUAAUUCAGAUAGGUUGUCUCCAAUUGAGUCAAAAAGUGCAUUGGUUGGGAAUGAGCCAAAAAAUGAAGGGUUAUUAUUUGCUACAUCCGCCUCACAUAGCAAGCUGCUGAGGGUUUGAACUGAUACUGUUAAGCUUUUUUUCUUGCAAAACCUUUUCUCUAAGCUAACAGUAUUGAUUGCAGUUGUACCAUAUGUUUCCUAUUGUAAUGCAAAAAUACAUAAGGAGUUAUCCAAAUGAGUAAAAGCUUUUUUUAGUGAUAGCAUCUGGAUGUAUCUCUCUCUGAAACUAAUCAAUUCCUAUAUCAAUAGAUAGUCUUUUGCCACCAUUCAUGUGUUUUUGCACAUUUUGCCACCAUUAAUCUGUUGUUCUGUUUUGGACAUAAUUUACUCUCUUCAUUUAUUUUCAGAACUAGUGAAAUAUGCUAUAUUUAUUGAUUUAUUCUUAUUCAGAAAAUUGUAGGUUUUAAAAUCCUUCUGUUGUAUGUCUUGAUCCCACAAAAAAAGUUGCAAGGGAAGGGGUUGGUUGCUGCCAAUCCUAUUGCUAUGUUGUUAUGCCAAGAUUGGCUAACGGUUAGUUGAUGAGUUAAAGAAAUGGGGAGGCAGAAUGUGGGUUGAAUAACAGACUAAAAACUAGUAGUAGUGUCACUUUGAAGGGUAUGAUUAAUGUAUGAAUCUUAAACCUGGACCUAGCAACUGGUAUACCAAAUUUUUUGGUUUAUUGUGGUUGAAAGAUUGGAUGCCCCUAGUAGUGGUGGUUAACUAUCUGAUACUUUCUCCAUCAAAAUAUGUUUUUCAUUUUUUUAAAUAUCUUUUUAUUUUUUUGAGCUACAUUGCUCUAUCAAUGUGUGUGUGCGUGAAACUGCUAGAGAGAGCUUGCUGAAGCUGAGACAGAACAAGAACAUUUGAAUCAUUUAGAUGACUGAUUAAAAAGUUGCUCCUGCAUUCUUUGAAAUAAAAUAUCCAUUUACAACACGAAUUUUGGUCAUAAGUUUGUUCAGUAAGAUUUUGUAAUGUUUUUUGUCCUGUAACUUGCUGAGAUAGGUUGCUUAAAUACCAUGAAUCUAUGAAGAUGGCACUUAAAAUGUUUUAUCUGGUUGUCUUAUCCAGGGUGUGAAGAAUGAGGAAGAAGAAUUUGGGCUGAUUUUCAUUUUGAGUUUGAAUGAGAAACUUUGUUUUCAUAUUUUGUCUAUGUUACUUUAAGUAUCCAAAAAUGAGUGUGAGAAUUACAUACUUGUUAUCAUGUCUCUUCCAAAGUUCUAAGUUUUGUCCGUCAAGUAUGUUAGCCAACAGAACUUUUUUUUUUCAGAUUCAAUAUUAAAUGUAUGUCUCAAAGAAAAGUUACUUAGAUAUUCCUAUCAAUUGACUUUCUUCUUGAUUAAUGUGCACGUUAGAUUGAGCAGGCUUCUGAUCUAACGCAAUGCUUUGAAAACUAGCCUUCAAAUCAGUGAACCUAAAAUAACCAAUAUUUUUAACUUUAAACUUUCAUUUACUUUGGUGCAAAUCUGUCAAUUCUGUCUUUUUUCUAUUAAUAAUGGUUCGUUUGUGAUUUGUUGUUCUGGAAUUAGAUAGCUUCAAAUAUUUUGCAAGAGUUGAUCAACAUUCAUAAUGAUGCAAAAGUCAUAUAAGCAAUCCAAGAUUAGGUCGGAGAUGAUAAGGCUAUCUUUAUUGAGCGAACAGUAGUAAAAUCCAUUUGUUUAUUUUUUUCCCUUAAUUUCCAAUAGUUUAAAGCACCCUAGUAAAAAUCAGAUGUAUUGGUCAGUUCCAAAGAAUUAGUGAUAAUUAUUGAGGAUCAAUAAACAACAAGUGGUAGCAGUACUGUGCUAAGCCAUCCUUGGCAGAGACAAAGAAAUGUUUAUAACUUUGUAUGAAUCAAAAUUUCAUAUAGUAGCAGGUUAGGUUUGGCUUAGUAGCAGUUUUAGGUUUGGCUUUUGAAUUACUAGAUAAAUUGAAAAGCAAUUCUGAAGGUUAACCUUUGAUUAGAAUCUUUGGUUGCUAUCUUGUUGAUAGCACUAAAGCUUCCAUCAAUUUUGAUGUUUGAGAGGGUGCCAUGGUCAACAAUAAUGUUAGGUUUGUUCUCUUUGAUAUUUACUUGAAAAAAGUUUGCAAAACUUUAGGAAGUUAAUGAAUUUACACGGUUGGAUUAGUACAAUCACAAUUUUAUAUCUAUACCUAGUUGUUUGUCAGAAGUUCUAAGUGUUUUAUCUCUUACUUUGCUCUUAUUUAGUCACUAUCUAGAUGAUACUUAAAAGAAAUGAUUUAGCUUAUUUUCUUGCAAAUUCUUAAGCUAACUUUCUUGUUUCAAGUUUUUCUUAUCACCCACUAAUAAUUGAAGUACUUCACUGCAGAUAUGUUGCUCAUUAUAGACUUCUGGAAGAUCAGCAGCAAGAGUUGUUAAUUGACUCAAGAACUAUAGAGAAAAUCUUAUGCUCAAGAAAUGUUUCGACAACACAUUUUUUUGGGGACUUGGAUUUGUUUUGUAAAAUUGCCUUGACUUAUAUGUGAAAUUUAGGCUAAAUACCACUUAUCAAACUAUUUGUAUGGUGUUAUUGAACUUCAUUAUGAUAUUCGAAUGCUUAAAAUGAUAUUUUAGCAUUUCACAAUGUAAUGGAUGCCUUCAUUUGUUAAUUGUAAAGCAUUGUCUUUUUUUCAUUUUUAAGAUAUAAUUUAUCAGGAAAAUCAUCAACUUUCAUGGUGGUAAAGUGUUGUCACUGAAUUAGAUUUCUCCAUUGACAACCACCUAUUGUUAUGGAAUUGAAAACUGUUUAGUGACAACAGAAGUUGUCAGUAAUUAGUUUAUACUAGUUGACACUACGGAUUUGUUUUAGUGACGACAUUGCUUUGUACAUCAUUGACAAGAUACUAUGUCAUAACUAAAAUUACAACAAUUACUGACGACACUAGUUGUUGCAAAAUAGUACCAUUCACUGACAACUUUUAAGGUUGUCACUGUAUAUAUUUACCGACGGGCCUUCAGUGACGACUCUGUGACGACUAGAAAGUUGUCAAUAAAACUUAUCAGUGACGACUUUUUUUUUUUUUUUUGUGAUGAAAAUGGCUUGUCACUAAAAACCAAUUUUCUUGUAGUGGGUGUUGCCAUGAAAAUUGUGCCAACGUCAUAUAAUGAUGAAGACAAUAUGUUUUCUUUUCUUUUUUGAAGUUUUCGAGUCGAAUUGAGUUAAAUUUAGGAAUCCACCAAAACCCUCCAAUUUAUACGGGAUUGAGAACCACCAAAUUUUAAUGAUUUAUUGCAAGAUUUUGAAUCCAAUACAUGUAACCCAAACAACAAGAAUUGGAAUUAUUUCAGUCCUUGAUUCCAAUCCUCUUUUACCAAACGGCACCUAAGUUUACUUAACACUAGUUCCCAGCAAAAGUUCAUUGUGUUAGGGUAGUUAGGCGUUGUUCUCUAAUGAUUUUCAAGACUUGAUUCUAGAUUUUAAUUUUGGAAAAGCUAUUUUAUUGCGUUCUCAACUGUGUUUUCAUAUGUUGAUUAGUUACUAUCAAGUAUCAAUCAAGCCAUUUAGUCAAAUGCAAAGACCAGUAUAGCAACAAAAAUACCAAAUGGUUUUAAUGAUCUUUUUUAUGGCUGGCUAAUCAAUCGAUACCAAUGGGGUUUAAAAAUCAAUAAAUGUUUGAUUGUCUUUGACACUAUGUUCUUGGAUGCACAUUCAUGAUUGGAAUUCAGUACUUAGGAUGUAGAGUGAAGUCUUUAAGGUCUUUAAUCUGCUAAUUUUAAUGAUGAUAAAUAAGUCAUGAGAUUGUUUUAGAGCGUAAGAGUGAAGACGACGUUAAGGUCUUUAUUCUUAAUUUUGAUGAUUAACAAACAAAUUAUGAGAUUGUCUAACAUGUCAACUCAGAACGUGAUAGAUGAAAGAUUUGUCUAACAGAUCUGGAAACAGGAAAAAGGCGCACCAAAGAAAAGAAAAGGAUUGAAUGUGAAGCUUCAUUCUUGCUAGCAAAAAUGGAUUAAAAUUGAAGUUAGUAGAAAGCGCAGGUAAAGUGACAAAACGUUCAUAAGUUUACUGAAUCUUAGAAAAGGUGAUUUUUAUGGAUUAUAUAUGUAGCAGAAAAGCACCUCAAAUUUGGCGAACUAAUUUUCAAUUAAUUGUACUCAAUUUAUACAUCUUUAUUCUUCCAAAAUUGGUCUUCAUUUAAGUCUUAACAAGUCUUCAUCCGUUGAUUAAAGCUAUUAGGAGCUGUAGUUUGUAUAUUCAUACCGUUGAGGGUGCUACAGAGCUUUUAUUUGCAAGUAUAGGCUUGAAGAUUGCUGCUAUCAUUGUUAAUAAUCAACCUUGUAUUCUAAUGAAGACUAUGGAAAAAUUUCUGAAAGGAGAUUACAAAGUAUACUCUCUCUCUCUCUCUCUAUAUAUAUAUGUAUAUGUAUAUCACAAGCAAAUAAAGAAUGAUUAACUACAAAGUCUCAGCUCUUGAAAAUUCGAGCUAUUACAGGAAAAUCAAACCGUGUGAAGAAAAAAAUUGGAAAGCCAUCUAGUUCACUAAGGAUAUAUACAAAUGUGUUGAAUUCAAGAAAGUUUAUCGUGCUUUACCGAACAUGAACAAACUGUCCAGGCAGAACUUGUCUGAUCGAACCAGAAGAGCUGGUUUCGCCGAAUUUAUGCAGGAUUUUGAUAAGGGAUCGAGCUUUCUUGCCUGCAGGACUUGUUCCUUCGGUCACAAGUGAAUAAAGAGCAGGCAUGAGUGAUUGAUCUUUUGCUAAAACUGAGAUAACAUCUGCUCCACAAUUUAGGCACAAAGAGUGCAGAAUUGAAAGACAGUACUCCUUUCCUGCUCGAGAUGUUGUUGAAUGCAAUAGCCCCGAAACUGUAGGUAAGGCAGAAGAUUCAAGAAUCUUGGAUGAGCCAUUAACACUGUCGGCCAAUGUUGCGAGGACUGCUAAUGCAUCUGUUGUAAGCUCUACUUUUUCUGAAAUAGCUAAAAGAUUGACCAGUGCUGGAAUUGUCCCUGCUGCAAUCACCCUCUGAUGAUUUCUGUGGGACAAAAGCAGCCCGAAAAUUGCAACCACGGCAUUCUUUUUCCCACAAGUAGCACCAUCUUUGAUGAGCUCUACCAAAGCUGGAAUUGCAUCAGGUGUUUCUCCAAUCAGUUUACGAUAUUCAUGAACUGAGGCUAGGUAGAAAAGUGUUGCAGCUGCCGUUUGUCGAGCUUCCAUUUUGAGUCCGUUUCUGAGCACCCUAAGAAUCAAUUUCAAGCCCCAAUUCUCCAUGAUUUCUUUCAUACCACUAGAAUGCUUUGACAGCUUCAACAAAGCAGACAUUGCAUUCGCUUGCAUAGAUGGAUUCUUAGACUUGAGUAGUCCUAAAAGUGGGGGAACAGUUCCAGCUUCAAUCAUGCAAGACCUGUUGAAAAUGUUUGAUUUUGCCAGCAAACGAAUCUCGUAGGCAGCCUUGUUCUUUUGAUCAACAGUCCCAAAACAUAGCCGGCAAGCGAGGAAAUGAGCAAGGAAUCUAAUGGCUUCUGCGGCAGCAGCACUUCCUGGUACGAUCGUCCUCGAUACAUCGCGAUUUUUCUUCCUUGAUUUAGCCAAAGAAAUCCCAUUAUCAGCACAAAACUGCUGGAUAAGUUUCAGCAAAGCCGAAUUUGGCACCAAUUCUGCGCUUGUCAGCUUCUCCCCCGUUUUGGGACAAAUGAGAUUCCCUGAUCCCAACCAUUUCUGUAUCGAAAUUCGAUCAUACGUCUGCCCAGUUGACACAGUUACUGGAUCAGUCAUCAGCUCCAAUGAUAUGGGACACCUGAAGUCCUCAGGAUUCAAACAAGUCAGAGUUUCCAAGCUAUGUCUGCCAUCAUCUGAUUGAUCAGAAUUUCCAUAAUCAUAAUCCUCAUACAAAACUCCCCUGGAAUAACACAGCAGCCCAACUAAACUGCUCAAUAACGGCAACUCUCUCGCAUUUCCAUCAUUUAAUUCCAAUCUGAUCUCUUCCUCUAAAAAUUUAAUCUCCUUUUGACAAUCAUUCCAACUCCUGAUAUCAAGAAAAUCAAGAACUUUCUUGAUAACACACCUCUCAGGCUCAAAUCGGUUCUCAAAUUGAUUCGAUAUCACAAUAACCCUCUUCAGUUCUUCCUCAUCCUCAAUACCAAUCUCCACUUUUGCCUUCUGUGAUUGCUUAGCUACUAAUUCCACGAGCUCCUUAACUUCACGUGACAAAUCAAUAGAUUUCAGUGGAAGUACAUCAAGAGCAGUAGCCAUUGCUCUUACCAAAACCCGAAAUUGAGUCGUCAUAAAAUGCGAUUUCAUCAGUAUCCACAAUCUAGCUCCUUCUCUCGUGCAAUCCUCCAACAAAAACUCAAUUUUCUGAAACGUAAGAUGAAGUUCAGAAAAGCAGAGGACAAAGGAGCUGGACAAGCUAGGAACAUGUUCUCGAAUUUCCUCGAAAAACAUCAAAAGAAUCCCAAUUUGGCGAAUCACUUCGCGGGCAUUUUUCCUUUGGCUUGGGAUAUAUCUGGAUCGGAAACUACAUAUCCUACCAGAAAGAUUUAUUAGCGACUCCAGAAGUAUCCCUGGAGAUAUCCCUUCACAUGGAUGGACAGCCGGAAAUGUCAGAAUCCGGCGAUCACUCCGAUCAAACCGUUGAAUCAUUGGAAAUUUACAAACAACAAAUUUGUUUGUAUGAUCAAUGAAUUUUGUGUUGUUUGUUGUGUUAGUUGAAAUUUUAAGUAUGGUCUGUUUUAGGAAGGUAAAUAUAGAUUUUUGUGGGAAGUUUCGGUUGGUGUAUACAUAUUCAGAAGGGUUUGAAUGAUUUGAUUUUUAAUAGACACGUGGCAUUAGAAAAUGGGUCUUUUGACUUUUAAAAUUUCUGCGUGGACUUUUUGUGGGACCAUAGUGAGGUGACCUUGGCAGUGAGGUGUACCAUACACGUGGCAUGGAUGCGUGUGCACUAGGGAUUGGUGGAUAGUGAUUUAUUACAAAGGCUAUAUUACAGAAUAUAAAAAUUUUAUGUGAAUAACAUUUUCAUUUUUUUCCGAUAAAUAAUAGCAUUCCUAUAUUUGGCCACUAAAUAAAACAAAAAAAAACUUCCUAUUUGCAACAGCGAUAAUCCACAUAAAUGCGUGCAAAUAGACACAUGUAACUGGUACUAGUAUAUUGCGCAGCAAGCAAAUCUACACGAGCUCAUUUGAGAUGAAAAUGAGUAAAAAGUAUUUUUGUGUAAAGAUAUGGUAGGUUUAUAUGCAUGUAUAUGAUGGGUUUGUUUGGAUUGUGUUUUAUUUGGAAUAUUUUUACUGUAGCACUUUUUGUGAUGUGAUGUAUGUGAGAUAAAAAGAUAAUUGAGAAGAUAAAAAGGUGUAUUGGAAAUUGUAAUGAUGAUGUAAGCAGAUAAAAUUGGGGAAAUAAAACACAAUCCAAACAAACCCGAUGAUUUUAUAAGGUGACAAUCACGUUUGACUUACAUCAAGUUAUUUCCAAGAAAUUAGAUAUAAAACGCGUCUAUACUUUUACACAAUCACUUGUCACACAUAUGAAGUCAUUUUAAAGAAAUUUGAUAUUGUAGAAACCAUUUAUUUAACAAAUCAUUUCAUACUUCUAAUCUCUCUAACUUUUACUUUCUAAGCUUCUUACUUCAUAAUACCGUGAGGGGGCGAUAUUUAGGUGUAUUAACACGUAAUUGAUCAAUCAAUUUAUUACUUUUUACGCACGUCUUUAUAAAAAUCAGAGCAUACAUGGAAUAAAAAAUUAAAGAGAAUAAGAAAUUUUAUCGAAAUUUACUAUAGAGGUCUCUUACAGAAAUUCUUACAGAUCAUCCACCAUACGUCAUUUAUAUAAUUUCUUAUAAAUCGCCCACCAACACAGUUCUCACGUCGAUAGCAAAAUUCGAACACAUGAUUUUUUUUAUGAGAAAAUAAGCCGUUGAUGCCAAUUAAAUUUAACUUGUGUUGCCAUUGAAUCGAAGGUGGCUGAUUACUGUGGAUUUUACACGUAGGAAGUGGGCGUGUUACACGGUUUACAUUUUGUGCAGCUAACCUGGAGAGUACUGAUAGGCGGAGGGCAGUUUUUUCGUUCUUUUUUUUUAAUAUUUGAUGUUUGGAUAAAUGAUUGGACUGAGCCAAGGUCCCUUGAGGUCAAUCUCAUGUGGGUCCAAGUUUUGGCCGACACUGGGGGCACGUGGAUGUAUCAGGACACCGUGACUUGCAGCGUCAGGCGGGGGGAAAGUCCGCUUAAAUUCAUGAAGGAGUGCAGCCGACAAGGAAUAGAUUAUGGAUGUUCGAAGGCAAAAAGCUAUGGCCUUUGCUUCAUGCAGCGGAGGAGAAAAGUCAUUUUCGCACCAUGAUCUUCCGGCAGAAGGUAUAUCCCAUCCCGGAUCCCGUUGGGAUACUACGCUAUUGUUGGAACAAAUUGUACGGUGCAACCGACGGUGUAAAUGUAUUUAACUUGAAUUUAAACGCAGGAGAUCGAUUGCAAGGCAUUGUUUAGUGCACACACUAUACGUGCAUGUAUGGAUAGCGAUUUUAGAUGCAACGGAUCUUCUGUUUUAUAUUCUGUGUCAUUUUUUAUUAUAUUGUUAUUUUUCCUACAUAAACAUCAUGUUUUAGUUCUUUUUUGUUUUCUUAAAAUUCAAUAACUAUUAAUUGAGUAAAAAAUAAAUACAGUAGCUUAAAAAAAGCAAUAUAUAAUAGAAAAUUAAAAAAAUAGCAGAAAAUUCAUAAAAAAUCUCAUUUUUUAUGCAUUUUGACUUUUUUGAAUUUGUUAAAUUUUGUGUAUUACUCAAUUAAUAGUUAUUGAAUUUUAAGGAAACAAAAAAGAACUAAAACAUGAUAUUUAUGUAGGAGAAAUAGCAAUAUAAUAAAAAGUGGGACAGAGAGUGGCACAGAAUGUAAGACAAAAGAUCCGUUGCAAAUUUUAGAUGUCUCGUGUCUGAAUAUCCCUAACAGGGGUAGUAAGUGGAUUUGAGAGGAGUCGAGGUUUAGUUUACUUGAGCCAAAAACAAUCUUUAACUUAUCAGGGUCAAUUUCAAUUUAGCAUAUAAUUUAAAUAUUGAGUUCGAACUCGAGUUUGAAUUCGAACAUGACUAAUCUCAAAUAAAAUCAGAUAUCUAUAGUCUUUCUUUGAAUGGAUAAAAUAAACAUUUUUAUCAUAAUAAAUGUUAUAAGUUAUGUAAAUAUUAUGCAUAUUUUUUAGGCUGAGUAAAACUUGAAGAGUAAUCUUUGUACUCCAUCUUGGCUUGAGAGUUUAAUAAAACUGCUCGAGCUAGACUUGAAAUUAGUCAAUAUUGAGUUGAGUCGAACUGUUGACCAUGCUCAUGAGUUGACUCGAUUCACACAUGCAAUUUUUUUGAGUGCAGGAUUGUGAGUUAAAUUACAAUGAUAACAAUUUAAAUUUCUUAAUGUGAAAUUUUUUUUCAUUUAUUUCAGUCUAGCUCUAGAAAAUCCCAUGUUGCAAUUUUUAGUUUCUAGGACACUAACAACUAGUUAGGGAGAUGAGAUUUGAGUAGAAAAGCAAAGAAAAGGAAGAGAAAUCCAGAUCUUUCUCAUGUUUGGGACUUCUAGAUAGUGUUUGUUUGUCAGUAAAAGAGUAGGAAAGUGAAAGAAAAUAACUUUUCUGCAAGUUUUGAAUGUUCGUUUGUUAGGAAACUUAUGAAACCCAGCACAUAAAAUUUGUCUGUAACCACUUAUUGUGCUAUAGAAUUUUUCCUACAGAAAUCAAUAGGAAAGGUGAGUUGCGGAAAAGUUUCAACUAGUUAGAUUUUUUUACAACUCCUUUCUUUCUAAACUAUUUUCUCCAUUCUAAACUUCUAAAUAAAUUAGAAAAACUUAGAAUUCACAAUUCAAAAAACUGGCUUGUGGUUAGAUAUAUUUUAUUCUUAAUUUAACAAUUAAUGGAUUCGUAGUUUUUUGGAUUUACAUGACAUUAGUAUUUUUUUUCUUUUACAUUUUAUGCUUCUUUUUUGUGACUAUAUAUUUUGUGAACUCUUAACCUAGAAGGGAUUCUAAAGUCCCAUUUGCUAAUCAAAUUCAAUCCUUAAAUUUAAUAAAUUCAGACGUUAUAACAAAAAAUAGAAUGCUUAAUUAAUUAAGUAGUUCUGAAUUGUUUAACCGAAAUUUACUCAAAACAAUAAGUGAUAAGCUCUCCCACCUCUAUAAUUGAUGACGUCUAUACAUGAAUGUAAUCAUUUCAGUUUUUUGUAUGGAUGAACCUUUUAUGGGAUUGAAAAGUCCAUUUUUUGUUAUUAUUAAGAGUAUGAAUUCUCUAAUCAUCUCUCUUGUCUUUUCUUAAAUAGAAUUCUUUAAUCACACUUCUUGUAUCAAUGAACCUUAUGACUGAACCUUCUAUGGGACUACAUUUAAUUAUAAACUAUAACAACACUCGGAUUUAUGAUAAUGUAGAAUGAAUUUCCCGUGAAGGAAUAAUGCAUUUCAUGCCAAAUCCAUAAAGCAACUAAUGUAGCCCUUAUCUAUAUAUGACAUCGUUCUAUGGACCAAAAAAUUUAAGAUUAUUUGAUUAGCUUUGAUUCAAUAUAUUACUAUUAUCCUCCUUGAAGUGUCUGCAAAUUCAUUGGCUUAAUCAACUUCUAUUUUUUCUCUCUUUUUUUUUUAAAGAAAAUGUUAGUAAUUAAUUUUUUUAAUAUAAAAAAUGAUUGUUCAAAAUACCGAGACCUUUACCUUUCUUGCAAAUGCUUAGGUAAACUUAAUCUUGCAGACCAUUGCUUUAAGUAAUUGUACAUAUGUGUAUUAUUAUUUGUACCUUAUGCAGGAAUGCAAGUUUCUAAAGCAUGUUGAUUUGCAAACUGGUGCACCUAAUUACUUUUCGUACAUCUACUAGCUAUGAAGCAAGAUUUACAGGUCUUUAAAUCAAUUGUCGGUUUAAGCUUCUAUAGUUGUGGCAUGAUAAAAAUAACAUCCCAAUUCGUGAGCUAUUGCAACAAGUUUCUUACGUACAUAUUUCACGUUAGCACUCUAAUUUAUGACUUUACUUGACAACAAAUUUUUAUGCAGAUGUCAAGCUUAUGUUUAAGAUAUUCAUCCGCCUACCACAAGGACGGAACUAGUGGGGGGACGCGGAAGGACCACCGCCCCAUAAGUUUUAGAUAUUUAUAUUUUUUUCCUUAAAAUUUUAAAAAUUUUUAUGUGUUUUAUACUAUUUGCCCCCAAAAAUUUUUAAAAAAAGUCCCAUAUUGAUUCAAAAGUUUAUAUGUACAUGCAUUUCAUCCCUGAAUUAAAAUUUCUGAUUCCAUCUAGGGAUGCAUUCAAAUCGAAUCAGGUUUAAGUAGUGCACUACUCGAACUUGAUUCGAGAUAAAAUAAUUGAGUUCCAACUAGAACUCGAAUUCGUCGAACUUUUAAAAGUCAAGUUCAAACUAGAACUCGACUUCAGUUUACCUUACUCAAGUUUUAACUUGAUCUCAAGUUUAAUUAAAUCUAAUCGAAUCAAAUCAAGUUCAAUCGAGCUUAUCCAAGUGUAAUCGAGUUCAAUCGAACUUAUUCGAGUCUAAUCAAGCUCACGUAGUAAAAAUUAAUAUUUUACAUAUAAUUUUAAAUAAAGGACAUUAUUGACAUCUCAUAAUAAUAAAUAUAAAAAAUUAAAAAUAUAUAUUAUAAAAAGCUCGAUUAGACUCAUCGAGAUUUUGAAUACAAAAUAUUGGAACUCAAACCCGACGACUUAUGAGCUCAAAUGAGUGGCUCGAACUCGAGGUUGAACUUGAUCAAAUCUAGCUCGAUUUAAGUUAUUGAGUCGAGUUAUUUGGUUUAGCAUCAUCUCUAGUUCCAUCCCGAGCCUAGCAUGUCACUGUUUCCUCUAGAAAAUUCUUUUUUCUAGAGAAUUCCAUUCAUAAUGCUGACACUCCCAAGGCUUGUCCUCGUUUAAUUUGAUAGAUACUGAUGACCAUUGGAAAAUCAUAGGCGUGAAAAAGGUCCCAUUCUAUGGUGCCAUUUUUCCUGUUUAAAGUUUAACAUUUUCCGUGGUGGACCAAUAAGCAUUAAUCAGUUGGACUUGAUUGGUUUCUCUUAUUGAUUACGAGAUCUACGCUUCAAACACCACCACAAAAAACAUAUAGGGAAACGCUUUAAAAUUUUAGGAGUGUUAAUAUAGCAGCUGUUGAGUGGGCACUUAUUAAUAUUAAUUCUGGUGUUAGUUUUUUAAUAAGGUGAAAUAAAUCAAAGUUAGUAUCUACAUGUUAGAGAAAUAAUAAAUGUGAACAUGUCAAUGCAAUUAAGCAUGUUAAUAGAUCGGGUCUUAUCCAAAUUUAACAUAGACCCAAUAUACUUGAGUGGGUUUGGAUUUAAUUUUUCAAAUCCAGACUCUAUCCAAACCUAGACCUUGUGAGAGAGUUGUGGGUCUAGGUAGGAUAUAGUUUUUUAGAAUCCACACUCAAAUUUAGAUCUAUACCAAGUCAUGUCUAGAUUUAGACCCAUAUCAAGUCAUACGGAUUUAGACCCAUACCGAGAUUUCGUUUCAUUAGAAAUCUUGCAAACUAUUUCUUUUGCCCUACCAUCUCUUGUAUUGUCUUUUCUAUUUUCGGCUAUUACAAUUGCAUUAGAAUUUACAUUUAAUGUUGGUGGUAGAAUAAUUGAUGUCCAGAUGUGAUUGAAGUAUGAUAAUUGGAUUGAAUCAAAGAAAAAAGAUGAGUAAGUAUUUAUAAAUCUUCUUAUUCUAUUAUUUAUUUGUUAUCGGUCCUUAAUCAAAUGAUUUUUAUCUCAUUCACUAUUGUAGCGUUGGAUUGCAAGAGAUCUAUCUACAUCGGGGCUUAAGUAAGAUAAAGAGGAACAAAAUUAUAUAUAUAUAUAUUUAAUAAGGCUAAAUAUUUAUAUAUGUUAUAUUGAUUUCUAUUUUUCAGACUAAUUCUAGUUGUUAUUAUAAUUCAUACAAACUUUUCAGGAAAAAGAGAAAAAAUAAAGACAAACAAAUAAAAGAUUGAACUUGGAUGCAGUUGAAAUUCUGAAAAUAUAGAGAAAGUAGUCGAUGAUAGUUCUUUCUUUGAGUUCAUAAAAUUACAUUCAACUUGUUGAAUAUUAAUUUCAUUAUUUGAAAACAAAAAUUGGACGGUAUUUAUAUUAUUUAUUAACUCUAUAUACUUUUAAUAUAUUUUUAUUUUAGCCCAAAUCCAUAAGGUCUAGAUCUAAACUUAUGAUGUGUUUGAUAAAACUAAAAUCUAAAAUCUGAAAUCUGAAAUCUGAAAUCUGAAAUUUGAAAUCUAAAUUUAUUAAGCCAUUAAAUUCUUAAAUAUCAAAUUUAAUACAUUUGAGUGUAUAUCACAUUCAGUAAUAAGUAAAUCUCUUAUCACUUAAUUUUGGAGCAAGUUUUAUCUAGGAAAUUCAAUAAUACUUAAUUAAUUCAGAUGUUUAAUUUUUGGUAAUCAAAUGCAUCUGAAUAGAUGAAUCUAUUAAGUUUAAGUGCUAAAUUGAAUUACUAAACAGGACCUUACUUUUUCAUACCCAUAAGGGUUUGGGUUCGAGUAUACAUAUGUGUGUGUAUUGGAAAGUGUAAAUGAGAGGACUUGAAUUCAAACUCCUAUAAAUAAAAGGUAUCGAGUUCGAAUCAUUUCAUUUACACUAAAAAAUAAUACGUGUGUAUGUGAAACAAGAUACUCAGCUUGAAUAAUAAUUCGAGAGAGCUGUCUCAUCAAUAAGAUUCGUCAUUAUUCCGAACAUGAUUUGAUUGGAGACAUGGGCAUCCAGACUUGCCAUCGCUAGUAUCCUGAGAAUUUUUCUCAACUGAAUAUGUACCGACCAUCCUCUAACGUUUCCGGAAAAAAAAAAAAAAAAAAAUGUGCCGACCACAUAUGAAAGCUGAAAAGCCACUCGCAUCCAAGUUGUCAAUCCACCUGUUUAUUGAUCCGAACUUAUAACGUGUACGUACAUAUACCAUUGAUAUUUUUCCACUUUAAGGGACACAAUUGAUCUCUGGCCCACCCCGGAGGAUUAAUUAAAAUAGUUUUUACUCUAUUAUUGAAGAAUACUAAACAGAAAGGAUUCUAUAAGCUGUAAUGCCGUUCUCAUGUGAAAAUUUGAGAUAUGAACUGGGCUCAUAAAAGAAUAAACAUUUGUACAGAAUGCAUGAAAAGUGUACGUUCCAGAGUAGUAUGAUCUGAAAUUAUACACAUGCGAUUGAUAGUUGAGUAUAACUGUCAAUUAAUAACACAAGUUAUUAUAUACAUACGCUGUAACGAUAAUAUUUUUAUAAUCUAAUUUAUCCAUUUUUAAAGGGAGGGAAGCUUAAAGAAGCUUCGCCGUUAUUAUACAUUACCUCUGUAUGUAUUUGUGUAUUGCGUAGUACAAUUGAGACUUGGCAGUUGCAGAACCCUAAAUCGGAUUAUUUGAUAUGAAAGAUGAAAUUUCAUGCUGACAAAGAAGGGAUGACAAUGAACACAGAAAUAGUAGGGUAAUUGCUUGAGAUGGACCAAUAAUGUAUCCACAUGUAGCAUGAACUAAUUUGUCUCUCCAUUAGUAGUCCAUUAUCUAUUGUCUAAUCAAAACCUAUUCAUACCAUUAUCAUUGUUUACUUGUCUUAAACACCAAGAGUCCUCCUUGAGCAUGCAAUCUCAUUAUUUGAUAGCUCAAACUUAAUGGUCAAAUAAAGGGGCAUGGAGCCAUCAUUAGAGAAUAAUAAUAUAUCUUCUGCAGGGGAUGGAGGACACGUGGAAUGUUGAUUUGAAUUUUUGCACAAUAAAGUAUUUGGAGGGAGAGCUAAACCUAAGAAGGAAAGUGAGAGAUAAGAUGAUGAAGCCAAUUUUGGUCAUAAGCAAAGUUUGCUUUUCAAGUAAUCAUCUCCUAGCUGCCACAUCUUCCAAUGAACACGAAGAAACAAGAUAAACUAAUCAUGUUCUUAGUCCAAAGAUUGACAAAACAAUCCACAUUAGAAUAUUGUUUGAGAACAUACCCACAUGAGCAAGAGUUCAAAGAAUAAGGGGUUUGAUUAAUUUGGAACCUAAUUAAUCAAUGGGUUUGAUUGAUUCCCAUUGAUUAAUUAGGUUUAUUAGGACCCAAGUUCUUAGAAAUAGAAUAUGUUGCCAAAUUCUUGGCAUAACAUCAUCCAACAGUUAUAUGACUCAUGCUUAGAUAGAAUCGAUCUUAAAAAAUUCAAUGAUCCAAAUUGUGCCACACCAUCUCAUCAGAUGGUGUUGUACAAUCUGGACCAUUCAGUUUUCGAAGAUCAGGCCUAGGCCUAUCCAAGUUUUGGCCUAAUUAUGUAUAGCAUAAAACAGGUCUUGCAGUUACCUUAUCUUCUGAUGUUUCUAUCAGCUAAAGUUAGGAAAAUUUUCUGGAACACGCAAUUGUAGUUGGAAAUCCAGUUUAAAUUAGAUUGCUGACCUCCAAAGGCUACGAGCCAAUAGCCAAUCUAAUCCAGUAGCAAAAUGGGAAAGCCCACAAGCCAAUUGACCCAAUUGGCCCGUAGUCCUGCUACCACUUUUUGAAAACUGUUUGGGUCAAUUGACAAUUCUUCCUCUUUAGUUGGUUGAAAAUUUUUGAAUUUUAGAUUCCAUGGUAAUUAUAUAUAAAACAGAUUUCAAAAGGAUUAAUGACAAACUAGCCUAUCAAAAAGUACUAAAAUUUGCAUCUUAAACGUCUAUAUUUCAGAUAUAAUACAAUAUAAACUUUGCAAUUUCAAAGUGCACAUGAUUUUGUAACAUAAGAUGCACGUUUUGCAAGGAAAAAAAAUAAACUUUCAAUUGGGCCAAUAUUUUUUUUUUAAAAUUGUGCAAGAAUAUAUAACACUUGGGGGUAUGUUCAUCCUGAAAUUAUAAUGCGCAUCAAUUUUUGUGGAUGGCAUGUUUGUCUUCUUCAUUUUUAUACACUUGCAAUUGGACAUUUCUCUAAAAUAUUGCUUUAAUAGGACAUUAGUUGUCAAAGUUAUAUUCAAGUUAGGAUUUCUUGGAUUGAUUGUAUUAUAUGGCCGACAAAAAAGGUGUAAGUAGCAGAUUGAUCUAUUUAAACAGUAAAUGGAACAAAAUUGUGACUCACCUAUUCUUUGAGGGUGCAUCUUGUAAUUUACCCAUUCAAGAAUGCAUGUCUCCCAACCAAUAUGGCAUCAGAUUAAGGCUUGCUUUUGUAUAAAUCUAGCAAGGUUUCCAAGAAUCAGAAAACAGUAACAAAAUUUUAUUUUCACACUAAUACUACUACUUGAACAGAAUAUUAUCAUGUUUACCAAUUUAGGAUUGGUUUGGAAUGAGAAAUUUGAUGACUGAUUUGAAAUCUACCCGAAUCGCUCUAGUUAUUUGAAUUGCUUAAGAGGCAUUUCAAUUUGUAAUUAGUUGUUCGGAUUACUUAAUAGGUAUUUGAACUUGUAAUUCACCAAUUAUCUGAAUAUAUUUUAAACACUAGAAUAAUUAGCAAUUUACAAAUUCAAAUACCUCUCAAGUAAUUUAAAUAACUAGAGUGAUUUAAAAGAAUUUCAAAUCAUUUGUCAAAUCCCUCAAUCCAAAAGCAACCUGAUUAAGUUUUAUGCCAUGGUAUUUAAUAUAUUCCGUACUCUAUAGCAAGUCACAGAAUAUAUGAAAAACUGUAUCGGAGCAAGAAAGAAACAAACUUGAGAAGCAUACAUUACAUUCCAUUUCAAGUUCUUCAAGCCAACACUAGGCAUUUAGUCGACUUAUUAAAUAGGAAUUAUCAAACAAAGACCAAAAAAUUUACAACCAAGCUGGAUUCUCCAAUGGAGUAACAACGGCCUUCUCCUGCAAAUGGUUCUUUAGGCUAUAAAUUCCUUUUUCUCUUCCAUGACAGCUCAUCUUAUAGCCACCAUAUGGAAUUGCAGCAUCAAAGAUAUUAUAGCAGUUAAUCCAUACUGUUCCAGCCCUUAAUCCUCGUGAUAAUGUGUUUGCUGUGUUGAUGUUCUUUGCGAAAACUCCUGCUGCCAGACCAUAUUCUGUUGCAUUUGCCCUUCUGAUCACUUCAUCAAGGUCCCUAACAGGACAUGACAUAUAACACUCAUAAACUGAAAUCCUGUCAUAUCUCUUUUGUUGUAUUGCCUUCUCUAAAAGUUUGAAAUAAACAGAAAACUCAGAAAACACUUGGAAUCAUUUGCAUCAAGAUUAGACUUCAGAAAACAAAGAUGUAGUUAUUCAAUAUGCGAGUAUAUGUAGGUAUCAAUUCAUGUAUAGCUGAUUUCUGAAGGCAUUUGGCAACCUAGCUAGAGCAAUCCAGUCUGACCAGUGAUUCACUGGUUUUGUAUAGUGGUUUUCCUUGUACCAGGGGAGGAAAGGCCUGGGAGGCUGUUUCUUUUUCCUCAUAAUGCCAUAGGAUUUGUAUUUAGCUUUAUACAAGAGACCAAAUACAAAUUAUAUGAACAAAGUGCGGGGUUUACAUGAAAUUCGGUGUGAAGUAUCAUAUGACUCACUUGAAUUUUAAGAUUGACCGCACUGGGCCAAAAAUUUCAUCCUUAGCUAUCAGCAUAUCAUCCUGUUUGAACAUAAGAAAUAUCAGUUAUUUUCAUUUAACUUUUGUACGCAUUGUAGGUGAAGAUCAGAGGGACAGAAAUGUAGAAUUACUUUAACAUUGGAGAAAACAUUUGGUUGAACAUAAUAGCCCUUGGAGCCAACUCUUUCACCUCCACACUCAAGGGUAGCAUUACCAUCAAUUCCAGAUCUUACGUACUGAAGAAUCUUCUCAAAUUGUUUAGAAUCGAUCUGCGAUGUUUUAUUAGGCAACAAACUUUUGAGACAGUAAUUUCCAUCUCUAAAAUUUGAAAGCAACAUGGAUAUUGACAACUAAAUAUGACAAACUUUGUCUUUGAGUGUAAUUCGUAGUUUUACGUUCUGCAAGAAAAAUUUCCUUUGUUUUCUGACAAUGCUGGAUAUACUCCUUCACAGAGUCAUGUAUCAUAUUCGAAUGAAUGACAAUUGGUUGCAUUGCAAUGCUCUCAGAUAGACAAUAUCUGUGGCAUGUAGGUUGCAAAAGUAAUCUAGAGCCUUAGUUUAUCUAACCAUUUUGACACAUAAGAGAAAGAGGUCAAAUGUGGAGCAGGUUUACACAGUCUAACACACUACUAGAUGUCAUCUGAGAGCAUGCUUACUUUCACAUUGAACAAGAGAAACAGCAAAGAUUGCAGAAUAACUGAGGGCCUUGUUCAACACCUUUCUUGAAUGGAUCUCCAACUAUACGCCUCAAGGCACUAGCCUUUGCUUUCUCCACAAACUCAUUAUAAACACGUUCAUGAACAAAUGUACGAGAGUCGAGAGCCAGCACAGCAGAUUUGGCCUUACAGGCGGCAAAUAAACUCAAAACACUUCUCAAUCUUCAAUAUCAGCUAUGCAGCUUUAUUAAUUAUUGCUGCACAAAUUCUUACAAGAUUAGUGAAUGUAGGUUUCAAAUGAUUGUAGCUAAUAAUUGUGAUUAUAAAAACUAGUGAGCAUAAGUAUAUUAAGUGAUUUUAAGAAAUUUUUAAAAAAACAUGUCCUUAUUUUUGUGUUGUCUUUUCUACCUAUUAAAAUCCAAUGUUCUAAUAGUAAACUUGUAGAUUAUUUAUUUUAUUAUUUGUUUACCUUGAUAAUUUCAGUGAAUGAUUCAAAUAAUUCUAUAAAAUAUCAACUUAAUCUCAAACUAAAUUGAUAACCUAUUGAAAUGGAAAAAAGGCAACGAACCUAAUUUAAAGGGACAUCCCUUAUAUUUUAAAGGGACACUUGAUUGAGAAUUUAGUUAUCAAUACAAGAGAAAAAAUGAUAAAACUCAUUAUUAAUUAAUUAGUCAUAAUGCAAAGCAAUAAAUACAUAUAUCAUCAAGGAGGUCUUGGCUUAAUGACUAAGGUUGAGACCUUAAAAAUUAGAGCUCUUAGGCUCUAAUUCCCUAACCCCCUCCUUGCUUUUUAAGUCCUACCCCUUCCCUAUUAGAAAAAAAAAGAAGAAGAAGUUUGAGACUAGGUAUGCAAAAGUGGGGAAGCGUCUGAAAAAUUAGUGAGAUAACUAAAUAAAAUAAAAUAAAAUAAGAACAAAAAGAUGUUUAAUUAGUUUUUGCAUGUUUUUUUUUAACACAAUUUCAAUCUAAUUGGCAUCUUCUUUCAUCCUAAAACCACUAUUUUAAAUAUAAGGGACUAUAAUGAUCCAAAUUCGAAACAUCAAGGACCAAAAGUGCAAAAUCAAAGUUAUUGACAAAUGGCAAUUUAAUUUGACGGUUAGUUAUUAUUGAAUUUCCAUCGAGUGUCCUAAAUGUACCUAAAAUCUAAAAUUUUGAGGACCAAAUUUUUUUUUUUUAUCAAAAUAUUAGGGAGUAGCUUAGCACAUAGGCCAAACAUUAAGGUCUAAAACUGCAUUUUUUUCUACAUUUGAAAGUGUAAAGUGUUUUCACACGGGUAGUGUACUAAAAAUGAAUCGUUUCCUUAAUACUUCUUUCCACCCUAGCUUCUUAAAUGAAUAAAAAAGAACUCGUUAUUUUUCUUUUGAUAAUACGCAUUUUGCGUGCAUAUUUGUUUGCAUAUUCAGUAGUUAACAUGAUCCAUGGCAAUUUCAUUGUUAACAAAAUGAGAAAGGAUCAUUCAAAAAUUCAACCUAGUAAAAGAAGAACUUUGAAUUUACAGUGGUGUAUGUUAGAGUCCCCUUUUGAUCAAUCGUUUCAAGUUUUAAAAGCAACUUGGUCCCAUGCAACAUGUUUGACGGGUCAUUGCCCUUCUUUCAUCAGGAAAUGGAAAGCAGCAUUGAGAGUUAGACAUAUCAAGAUGCCUGGUAGUUCAAUCAUGCAUCUAUGAAUGAUGCAGCUUGAUUCGACACACGUUUCAUCUAGAUGAUUUAACCAAUCCAAGAAACGUGAGGUCUUUUUCUGUAGCGGAUCAGCGCAGAUAAAUUUUCAGUUAUAAAAAAAUAAAAAACUAAAAUCUUGAGUUGAAUAUAAAUAAGAAAUUGGCUCUUGCACAUUUUUUUUUUUGCCUUUGAAAGACAAUCACGAAUGAUCAUUCAUGUUUGAGAGAGAAUAUUUCAUUCAAUUUGAUAAAAUGGACACCCAAGAAAUGAGUUCAAGAGGGCUAUUUGUAACGUUUAAGUCAAGAAAGUAAUAAGCUAAUGCUAACAAAGAAAUACUCAAAUUACAAGCGGAAUGAAUGUCACAAGUCUGUGCUCUUCUUUGUGUAGAGAGCUAGUGCAAAAGAGGAAAAAAAUUGCAAGACAAUUAAAGCACCACCAUAUCCAAAUUAAAACAAGAUUCUGCAUUUGAAUUUUGAGGUUUCUUGGGCCCAAUUUCUUAGUUUGUGAUUGAAAAAAGAAAAUUCAUAGGCCAAAGGGAAUUGAUCUAAAAGAGGUUCAAAACAUUUGUACUUGUAAGAUUUUUUUGUUUUGAGGGAGGGUUGGAUUUGGUGGUGAGGUGGGAGAGAUUGUAAGUAAUAGGUCAUGAAUUCAAACUCCCAUUUACCCAAAAAAAAAAAAAGAUAUUUUUUUUCUUUCCAGUUAUUACAUUGCAUAUCAUAGUGAAGCUGGACUAUAGGUUAGAAUGUCGUAUAUCUCCCAUCGAGUAGAUAAUUUUAUUAUCUAAAAUUGGAGCUGCUUAAAUUACCAAUGUCUAAUUUAAGUCCAAUCUUUUACCCUAAAUUUUGCUUUCAAGUAUAUUCAACACCCUUAAUCACACCAGCAAAAUUGCUGAUUUAUCGUCCCGCAGAUCACUGUUUUCAUUUGAAAAGCAUUCUUCUAGAGAUUCCCAUUGUAAUGCCUUGUAUACGGGCAAAAUACAAUUUAUUCUCCUGUGGUUUAGCGCUUUUUCACAUAACCCCUUAUGGUUUCAAAAGUUUUAUAUAAUUCCCUUAUGAUUUGGAUUAAAGUGUCGAAAUGACGAAAUUUGCAUUCUUUAUCGAAAUCAACUAAAAUGUCAAAAGUAUCCCUAUGUAAAGUUGAAAAUUAUUUAUUAACCAAGGGAGGAUUAUAUAUAUAUAUAUAUAUAUAUAUAUAUAUAUUGAAAACCAUAAGGGAGUUAUAUGGUAAAAUACUUAUUUAUAAAGGGGUUAUAUGGUAAAACGUAAAAUCAUAUGGGGUUGCAUGCAUAUUAUGUUUAUAUAUUUUGGUCAUUUCAAUUAUUUUAGUUUUUAAAUAAGGGUAAUUUUGACAUUUUCAUGGGUUCCAUUACAAAUGAUCAUUUCCGUCAUUUUGACACUUUAAUCUAAACUAUGAGAGAAUUAUAUAUAGCUUUUGAAACUAUAGGGGAAUUAUGUGAAAAUUGCUAAACUACAGGGGAUAAAGUGUAUUUUGCCCUUUGUAUAUUGCUGUUUUCGAUUGUCUUGUUUGGUAUGACUAUUCGAAAAUCAUAGGUGCCAACAAUUAUUUCUGCAAUCCCCUUUUUCUUUUAUGUUUAUAAAUUUGAAAUUUAUCAUUCAAGCUACAAUAAUUAAUAUUUAAAAGUAUCUUUUUUCUAAAUUUUACAUGUACUAAGAAACUUAAUGUAUUACUUUUAGGAUAAAUUACAUAUAACCCUCCUGUGGUUUCAUCUAUUGUCAUAUGACCCUCUUGAAAGUUUCAAAAUACCCACUUCAUCCUCUAUGGUUUUAUGUAAAGUGAAAAUUUGAUGAAAAAUAACAUAUGUAAUGCAGUUAGUUGAAAUACGAAUGGUGCCCUUACUUAAGUGCUAAAUCAAUCAAUGGUUUAACGACCUUGAAUAAAACUAUUGGAAGAUUACAUGGAUAAAUGGUAAAACCAUGGGGGGGUAAAUAAGAUAUUUAUACAAAUCAUAAGGGUGUUAAAUAGACAUUAAGAUUUUAUCACACACACUUUUAAAGCGCGUUUGGUAUAAAUGCUAUAACUGAUUGUACAUUCUAUCCAUUUUUCGUUUUAUAUAAAAUCAUAGGGGGAUUAUAUGGCUAUUUUAAAAUUUUAAGAGGGGUCAUCUGGUGUUGUGUAAAAUCACAAGCGGGAAAUAAGUUAUUUACCCUUAUUUUUAUUUAUAAAUAUUAUUCAAAUGAUUCAUCGAUUCAACCACUUAUCCACCUAUUGACCCAGUGACCCAUCUACCCGCUCCUUUUUCAAGUUUUCUUGGGCCGACUUUAAUGACUAUGGAGAUUUGUGUUCAUCAAAGAGAGCUGUAUGACAUCAACCAAAGGACCUAUUUCAAAAGGACACUCCUCACAAUUCUUUAGUUGUUGAAUUACUAAGAAAGCAUCCCUUCAAGAAAAAAAUUAGUGAUCCUCAAAAGCUCAACUAAUUCGGCAGCUUCGUUGGUUGCUAUUGCUUGUGCAACCUAAGCCAUACACAAUCCCCUGAAAACUUUUAGCAAGACCAGCCACGAUGACACUCUCAUUGUCACGACUAACAGCUCCAAUACAAUAAACUUUAUGUUUGAGAGACUCUGCUCCGCCGAAGCUAAUUUUGAAAAAGGGUUAACAAGACCAAUAGUCCCUCUCACAUAUUACUGAUGUGAAAUUUUAAUUUCUCAUAAUCAAAAUGAUCGAUUUUAAUUUCGAACAAUUUAAAAAUAUUUCCUUUUGGUCCCUUGUUAUCUUUCCGGCUAAAUUUUGUGGGAAUAUAUCACGAGUUAGUCACGUGAUUAGUUUUUCAAGGAUAAAUUUGACAACUCAAUUAAUAUUGCCUUUCCUAAUCCACCACUUCUCUCCAUUAUUCACCAAAUGCCAAACUAGUUAAAAUGACAUAGUUUUGAUAAAACUCCACUUUUUCUAUUCUUUCUUUCUUUUUCCUUUUUCUAUCAUCUUCUUCCUUCCAUUUUCUUACAAAGCUCACAUGAGCUGCCAUAGUGCAUUUCAGCAGCGGCAGCACCGCAGACCACCAUCUUCUGUUCACAAUUUGUCUCAAAUUUUAACUCCCCAGUUGGUUUUUUGCUGCAUAAAUUCCGAUUCUAACAUUAUUUUUUUGCAAAAAUUGUACAAAAAGUGGUCAAAAUGGCCAAAAAUAGCUGUGAUUUCUUUUCAUUUCUUUUGUCAAAACAACACAAAAACUCAUUGAAUUUUUUUGCAAAAUGACCCAGAUGAAAUGCACAGCAUCAAUAACUCGAAAAUCAGCCAUGUAAGCCUCAAGAAUCAACAAAGUUAAAACAAAUCUUUUUUUUUUUUUUUACAAGUAAUGCAUAGCCAUUAGGUUCAAUAAUUUGGAGAUGAUUACAUUAGAGCUUCUUAAGUGAGGCUUCGGAUGUGAUUGUAGACUAGUAACUUCAGUAGCUAUAUCAACCACAUAUGCUAUCAUGGGUUUGCUAAGGCUCUUCGAAAUCUUGUAAUUUUCAAGUGCUUUGGGAAUAGCCAUCAGGAUUUGGUGUGGUGGUGAGAAAAAAUCAUUUCUUCAAAGUAUUAUUGAAAACGGGUGAUGGUAGGGAAAUCACCUUCACCUUGGCUUUUCCAGGUCCCUAGCAAGAAGGACAGAGGUUGGACUACUAGAUGUGCUGUUGGUGACACCGCCUCACCUCUGCCGUCCAUAUUUACGUCGAGCCCUAUUGAGCUUUGUUAUUUAGUUACAACAAAUCUUGAAAUUUUAUACAACACAUUUCCAUGAUUUUUUAAAAAUAGAGGGAGAAAGAAAUAUACUUAUUUACAAGACCCAUAAAAUUGGGGGAAGAAGAGGAGAAAAGAGGGAAAAGGGAUGGGGUGGAGGCUGAGAAGUGAGAAAGAGGUCAAAUGGCAGUGGUGGUGUUGGUAGAAGUGGGAGUGAUAUGAGAAGAUGAUGCUAGAAUAGGUAAAUAAGUGACGUGGAUUUAGAAUUGUGAAAUCAGGGUUUAGGUGGAGAAUAAUUUGAAAAGAUGGUAGAUUAAAUGAAAAAUUAGUUCAAUAUUAAAUGAGUUACCAAAUUUGCUCUUAAAAAAUUAAUCACGUGAUGGGUUCGUGACACAUUUCGAUAAAAAUUUGGUUGGAAAGGUGACAAGAGACCAAAAGUGAUCGUUUUUCAAUUGUUGGGAACUAAAAUCUAUCAUUUUAACUCUAAAGGACUAAAAUUUCACAUCAGUCAUAUGUGAGAGGCUAUUGGUGCAAUUUUUCCUUUGAAAUAAUUGCAUGGUGGCAACAACUAAUGCGCAUAUAUCUCGAUAUCACUUUAGUCUCUAAAUUCUAAAUUAGGAUACUUUAAUUCCUAAAUUGUAUGUCGAUUCCUAUUUUGGAUGUCCAAAAUCCAUUUUUCCCUCAACUUUUGGAAUUUUUUCUGGGCAUAGUUUGAUCUGAUUUUGCUGCUGUACCCUUGCAACAUGCAACUAUGCUGCUCAAGUGACUGGUAUUCCAUUAACUUUGAGAUUCUGUUAAAGAUUGUACUUAAAUGCGAUAAUUUUAAUAGUUUGGGGACUAAAAUAUCCCAAUUUAUAAUUUAGGAACUAAAAUAGGAAUUGAAAUACAGUUUAAGGGUGUAAAGUAAAAUUAAUCUGAAAAAAAAAGAAAAACCCAAAAUUUAGGAGUGCCCAUAUAUACACGUAUGUUUUAUUACAUGAAUUUGUUGUCUGAGCAUUUACCUUACCAAUUAUAAUUAAAACUUGCACAGUUAAGCCUCAUAGUUGUGUCAAUUCAAAUGCCUCGACAACCUAGCCUCUAUAUUAUUCGGACUUUUCACUUUACCCUACUGUAUUUAUGUUCAACUCUUUAUUUUGCACUAGAAUAGCCGUGUCAGAGCAUUACAAGCUUUUCUCUAACACAAAGUUGUUUGGCAUUAGAUUAAGAAUGUUAUGUUUGCUGUAAAUAUAGCAAGGUCUAAGUAAUGAGAAGACAUUAACAAUCUUUCAUUUUACAGUUUCAGUCUUGCUUGCACAGAAUAAUUUAUUCUUUACCAUUUGUAUGCCAUACCAUUUCACGUUUUUCCUAACUAUGUAGCAAGUUACAGAAAAGAUGAAAAAUUCCAUUCAGAGCAAGAAAGGAAACAGCUUGACAAAAACACAAUACAUCUUCUGUUUCAGGCAAGCCAAAAUAUGUAUUCAGUGAACUUAUUCCAGAGGUUUUAUCAACAAAGACCAGAAAGUUUACAGCCAGGCUGGAUUCUUUAAAGGAGUAACAACAGCCUUCACCUGUAAAUAGUUCUGUAGGCUGUAAAAUCCUUUUUCUCUCCCAUGGCCGCUCAUUUUGUAGCCACCAAAGGGAAUUGCAGCAUC